rnacentral:lncRNA from 1 species
AAUCAUCAAGUUUUUGUUCUUAUUUUGGUGCAUAGUUUUCUGUCAAUUUGAAGUACAACGGCUGCAAUAUUUGACUAGAAUCGUCGACUAGUUGAAUCUUGAUAAGUCUUUUUGUCAAGUCGAUGAUUUGUAAGGAGCGAUUUUGAGGGAAUAGAACCCCAUCUUUCGAGAGAGCGUGUCUAGAGAUUGAAAUGUCAUACCAUAUGAUGUUUUAAACAAUAUGUCAAGCUCUCUCUCCAUUAAUAAUGAAUCUAACAAACAUAUAUAGAAUUUAUCCUCUUUCGGGACUAAACAAGUAGCUAGCAAACGAUCAUAUUGCACGAAAUAAUAAAUAUUUAAAAUUGACAUGGAGAUAAAUGGAUUAUACUUAAUCAUGGUCUAGCUGUGCUCUUGGUUAGCUUUAAGCAUAGCUAAAGUUAUUCGAGUCUUUUUUUUUUGGUCUGUCAUCCUAGUCUACUUAGUAACUUGAUUAGCGUCAAUAUCUUUCAGUGCUUAUAACAUGGAACCACAUGUUAAUUACACCUACAGCUACACCAACAGAUUUCACAUUAAUUACGCUAGAUUAACCAUUAAUUACGCCUAAGACAUACAAAUUGAUUUAUGAACAGUAAUAAAUUCCACCGACUAAAGCCGGCAAGAUGUGAUAAUCUUUCAAAAGACUAAAAUUUAAAAUGGUCGCAUAAAUUUGAAAAAUGAAAUAUUCUAGUAACGAAAAAGGGAAGUUCUGGAUUAAGGGAGAAAUGCUGAUGGGAACGCAAAAGAGUGGCGGCUGUGGGGUCGAAUUAGCCGACGUAUUUAUAUACCAAUUUUUUUUCGUUCAAAUUAGUUCCUUAUUUAUUAUUUAUUGUUUUGGCAUUAACGUCUUUGUACGAUGCAUUUUUCUUGCCUCAGACAUUAUUACACAAACAUAAAGAUUGACCUUGGAGUAUUGGACGCGUAUUGGCGUUGUACGUUCUCGGUCUCUUUUGAAAUGUGCGAGCGCGAGGGGAGGGACCGACGCUACAAGAACGGCGUCACGAGCCGUCGUUUUGUACGUCUCUGCCUUAUUAUUUUGCAAAACCAUUCUAUUAUUUUGCAUUGACACUUCUUUAUGUACGAACUUGCAAAUCAGAGAGAGAGAGAGAGAGAGAGAGAGAGAGAGAGAGAGAGAGAGUCGCGCCCUCUUGUUCCUAGGAAGGUAUUCCAUCCUACCAGGUUUCUUACAAAAAUCAGGAUAGUCUCGAGAUGGCAUCAGGUUUUACAGUGAACCCACGUACCAUGCUCUUGUUCAAAAUUUGGAAUACUUAUUUUCAUGGCUUUGUAAAAGGAAAAAAAAUUAGAAGUAGCAUAGCAGUACGAAUGAUUUCUCAUGCAGGAUUAGGCAAUGCGUAGGAUUUCAUGAGCUGGCACCUUCCACCGUCUUCACCAAGAGGACCUAUGAAAGAAUCACCAUUUAGAUGCCUCUAGUAUAUGGAUAAUAAUACAACUAGUUCAUAAACUUUGACUCAAUAUACAACGUGAUCCUUGACCUUUAAUCUAAUGUGUAUUUUUAAUUCGUUCAAUGUGAUCCUGAGACUUUUAGUAUAUGUUCAACUUAGUUUUUGAAAUAUAAGAAAAUGUUGAAUGUUAUCUAUCUAUUGAUUCAAGUUUAGAUAAAUAUUUAACAUUUUCAUAUAAUUUUAGGGAUUAAGUUGAACAUGUAUUAAAAAUUUAAAUAUCACAUUGAACAGAUUGAAAGUUUAGAAACUACAUUACACAUUAGACUGUAGUUCAUAGAUCACAUUAAACAAAUUAAAAAUUUAUGGACCACAUUGAACAUUUGAUCAAAUUUUAGGGACUAUUUAUGUUAUUUUCCCUUCCUCAUACUAAAGUUUGUCUUUGGCUGUUUUUAAGGGAGAAGAUCAGUUUGACAAGCACAUAAGGCUGUUAAAAAACUAAAAAUAAAAAUAAAUAAGCCAUUGGAUGGUAGGAAAUUCAAAGUUAAGAUCAGUGUAGUGAGCAAGCAAAGCUCCCCAUCUACAAGAUAGUUAUGGAGUUAGGGCACGUGUAAUAAUGUAAAUAAUAAUUUGAGCACAAAAACAAAAUCACAGAUCAUAUGAGGCGUGGGGAAAUUGAAACUUAGUUCCCAAAUAUAAUAUGUUAAAAAUUUAACCCUAAAUUUUUUUUUUUGGAGGCAAACAUUUGCUUAUAAUAAUAAAUAAAAUAAGAUAGUAGAUUGGAUAUUGGGUUUACGUGAUUGGUUGAUGUGACAUACUCUAAGUGGAAAAUAGCCCGAGAUUCUCAAUAAAUCAGCCGAUGCAAGGAUAUUAUAACCAGAUUCGAGUCAAUCAAACAUUUUUAAUAUGUUGUAACCUCUCGCUACACUUAAUUACCCACAAUGUUUGCUAUAUAUAGAGAGACACACACACACAAAAACUUACCACAAGAUCUUCACACUCAAGAUGUUAUCAACGAAGAAAGCCGCAACAAAAGUUGCACAUCUCGGCAUACUUCUCCACUUCAUGUAAAAUCACAAAACAUUCAAGAAAGCACUUUGCACAAUUGCAGCCUUAAAGCCUUUAAAAAACGAAAUGUACACAGACACACAAAGAACACCACAUCCGAGAGUCGCUCAAAUCAAGCCAAAUUAUCAUGCACUUUAGGACUAGGCUUCAUUCAUCGGUUCAAAAUCCGAGAGCUAAUUUUCAACAAAUUUCUAGUUUAACUCGAUGUUUGAGCCAAGUACAAUCACUUCAUUGAAAUAUAAACUUCAAAGCUACUUUCCUUAAACCUCUCAAGGGCUCUUUAGCCACCACAAACAUGUUUUAAAUCCAAGCAUGCUUGAAUUUCGUCAUAGCCGCGAAUCUUAAUAUAGCGCCAACUCCAUACAGCCAAUUCCACGUGCACCUUUAGCUCUUUCUCAGACACAACAUCCUCAACUACAUAUAAAACAAAACCAUUAUUGCACCCAUACUUGUUAGACAAUCAAACUUAUGGACCUUGUGAAACUUAGCAGCUACGACAAUUGUUGUCUUUACAAACUCCACCAUACUACAGGCACCUUCUAUGUUAACAUGCUAAUACCUGCUGCCUCAAGAUUUUCUAUCGCAACUCCACCUCGAGCUACACAUCGUUCAAAUCCACAUAAACAUUAUCACAAUCAUUUCUGUCUAAAAGUAUUAGAGACUCGUCAAAUAUAAUAUCUCUAUUGUGAGUGAAUUUAUUCCGAGCACCACAACAGUUAAUCUUCAAUCAGCAUCUUCUAGCAAUUGAAAACCUUCCCAUCAAACCUAUAGUUUUUCACCUUUCCUUCUUCUACCUCCAUCUAUCUACUUUGACUUAGCCUAACCUGGAUAUGAUGCCUACUAUUUUGGAAAAAUAAUGAUUGAAGACAAUGUUAAGUAGAAUAAGGGAAUAAAUUGGACACUAGUUUACACGGUUUGGUUAGUGUGACCUAUCCAAUGGAGAGAGUAACACAAGAGUCUACUGUAGGUUAAGCAACAUAACAGAGAUAAUAGGGAAAAUUACCAAAACAGUUCCUAAAACUAUUACAAUUUUUCCAAUAUAGUCUUAAAAUUUUUUUAUCAAUUUAAUUCGAAACCUUUUGCAAUUGUGUCAAUUUAGUUUAUUCAGUCAAAUUUGGCUGGUUGGUGCUAACAUGGAUGUUGUCUAUCUAGCUAACAUUGACAUGAUAAUUUUUUAAUAAUAUUUUUUUUUUGUAUUUUUAUUAAUUUUUACUUUAUUUUUUAUUUUUUCUUUUCUUUUCUUCUUUUAGCUGAUCGCCAAACCGGCCAGAGGUUGCAACUGGCGAGAUUGACCUCAUCGACCACUAGUGAGGCCUCACCCUCACCCUCGCCCUCCCGUUGCUGUGCAAGGUGGAGCUCACCUAGUUAUGGUGAGGACGAGCUCACCCUUGUUGUUGCUGCAUUGGGAGAGGGCGAGCCUCACCAUGGCUAGGUGAUCUCGCCAUUGACUUGCCUUCCCAUCACUAGGCUAGGGUGAGCCUCGCCAUGGUUGGGCAAGCUCACCCAGCGACGACGAGGCCAAGCUUGCCCAGUAGUGGCAAGGCCUUGCCAGUUGUAACCUCUAGUUGGUUCGGCGAUUGGCCCGAAGAUGAAGAAGAAAGAAAAAAAUUUCAAAAAAAUAAAUUAUAAUUAAAAAUUGCCACGUUAGCAUUGGUCAGGCAAAUUUGGCCGGAUUGACUUAAUUGGUAUUAUUACAAAAUGUUUAAGAUUAAAUUGGUAAAAAAAAAAAAAGGAUUGAAUUGGAAAAAUUAUAAUAAGUUUAGAACUGUUUUGAUAAUUUGCACAAGAUAACAAUGACACUUAAGUCACUCAAACACUUACAAUUUGUUGUGAGUUGCAAUUAUACUCAAUUACAAUUUUUGCGAUUUUAAACAUUCAAGAUGUUAUUGAUGAAGAAAGCUACUGCAAAAAUUGCACAUCACAAACAACUUCUCCACUUGUAAAAUCACAAAACCCUUGAGAAAUCAUUCUACAAAUCACGACCUUAUAUACCCCCAAAUCACCAAUGGCCACCAUUCCCACAUGAGAAGAGGAAAGUGGGGAUUUUGAAUCCUCAUCUUCUCAAGAAGGUUGGGGUAGAGAUAAUUUAAUUUCAAGUAUGGGUUCCGACUCCUAUGCCCUAUAAGAAGAUAGGGCAAAAGUCUAAGAAUGAGAGUUAAAAUAGGACCGAUUGAAGGAAAAAAAGAAAAACCCAAAUCCUAAAUAUUUAGUUAUAUAUUUAUUUAAAAAAGAAAAAAAGAAAUCCCUUUUAGCCAACUCAACUAGGAAUACGAGUAGGAAAUUGUGUUUUGCAUGCAAGUUUUAGAAACUUAGUCCCCCUGGACUUUCCCAAAAAAGCGCCACAUCCAAGGGUCGCACAAACCAAUCCGGAUUCCCACACACUUUUGAAUCGAGUUUCGUUCACAAAUUCAAACUUAAAUGGAUAAUCUCAAGAAACCUAAUAUAAGAUUGGUUGCAAAAAAAAGCCUCAAGAACCCCCUUAGGCCCUUACCACACUGCUUAUGCUAGAUGUGAGAAACAAUGAGACAAGUCUGUCAAGGUGCAAAGCAUACAUGGAUCAAGAGCAAUAUAAGAAAUAAAAAAAGAAACUUUUGCUUCAUACCUUGUUAAGCAAAUGAAAGCUCAAUAGUUCGUAUUAAUUCAACGACCGUAAAGUAGUUGAACAUGAAGAACAAUUAAGAGAUCUCUUAUUUGAUUCCUUAUAUCCCCAAAUUCCCUUCUAAUUCAUAUGUCAAGAGCUUCCGCUAUAUAUUCAUAUAUUCAUUAUCGAUCAUCUUUCAUCGAAUUAGAAAGUAGAUCAAGUUUAUAUUACCCCAGUUCUCUAUUUACGUUUUGUUUUCCCUUAAUCAUAAAUCCUACAACAAACCAACAAUAGUCACAUACAAAAAUGUAUUGGGAAAAAUGCGCAAUCUUAGCAUAUAAAACAAUUUUGAGCAUGCACUCAUCAUUGACCACCGGCGGCUUUUCAAAUAGAAAAUAUAUCUAAAUUUAAUGUGUGUGCGAGAUUGUUAUACCAACAGUACAUUUAAGAGAGACAAGACAUUACAGUAAAAAAGAACACUAGGUUGGGCCACCGGAAAUAUCUAGCUACAUCGUGCAACAAAUUUCAUUUACUUAAAGAUAAUUCACGUUUCAACCUCUCCCAUAGCAUAAGGACCCGAUGUAAUUUCUUUCGCUUUCCAGAGAAUUUCUAAAUUUUCGGGUUUUUCAUUUCUCCCAUUCUUUGAUAUUGAAUUCACGAUCACAUUGCGCAAGCAAAAUAUGACGAUUAACGGUUUAGGGUCACUUUAUGGGAAAACCUACUAACAUCGUAAUUCAGCAAGAAUCAAACUAUAAAUUGUUAGGGGAAAAGUGUAAAAAAAGUUCUAAAAUUUUUGCAUUUGUGUCAAUUUAGUCAUAAACCUUUUAUUGGUGUCAAUUUAGUCAUAAGCAUUUUUAUUUGGUGCUAAUUCAGUCUUUCCCAGCUAAUUUUAGCAAGAUUUGCUAAUUAGGUGUCGAUCGGCUGACGUGAACAACUUUUAAUAAUAAUUAAUAUUUUUCAGUUUUUUAUUUAAUUUUAUAUGUUCUUUUUCUUUUUUCCUUUCUCCUUUCUCCUCCUCCUUCCUCCAGCCAAUUGCUAGAUCUCAACAAUUGGCCGAAGGUGACAUUGACCGCACCGGCUUUUGGCAAGCCUCACGGCCACUAGCGAGGCUUGAGCCCUUACUAGAGGCUGUAUGGGCUGCUUGUACUAGGCGGUAAAGCUCACUCUCGUUGGAUUUGGCAAGGGUUAAGUCUCACUAGCCAUGGGCGAGGCUCGACCUCGCUAGAUCUGGUGAAGUCGAGCCUCACCAAUGGCUGGGCCCUUGUCAGCCUAGCUUGAUGUUGCCCUCAUGGCCUAGGCAGCCUUAAGCAAGGCUCGACCUCGCCAGAUCUGGCGAGGCAGAGCCUUGCCACCUAGUGUGAGUAGCCCUCGCGGCCUUUGGCUAGGGCUUGAGCUUGGCCAAUGGCUGUGAGGAUCACCAAAGGCCAGCGAGGUCGACCAGUCGCUAGAGGAAGGAGGAGAAGAAGGAAAAAAGAAAAAAUAAUAAAAAUAAAAAUAAAAAUAAAAAUAUUAUUAAAAGUUAUCAACAUCAGUACCAAUCAUGUCUCGUCAAUCGCCUAAUCCCUAGUCAGUAAAAUCCGGCCAAAUUAGUCGAAAGAACUGAAUUAAUAUCAAAUCAAAAGCUUUAUGACUAAAUUGAUACUAAUAAAAGAUUUAAGACUAAAUUGGCAGAAUUACAAAAGAUAUAAUACUUUUUUUGACACUUUUCCCCAAUUUUUAGAGAAAUUCCAUCCAAGCGUAGAGAGUUUCCAUACUUGUUUUAGGCGAUACUCCUCAAAUAGCGUUAUUUACAUCUAAUUGUAUUUUGCUUUAUAAGAUGACUAAGAGAAAAAAAAAAUUGAUACAAAAUUCUUAAUUACUUUUUCUUUGCUUUUGUAGGCCUACCUCCCCACGUGACCAAGGUCAGCGCUAUCAUUUUGAACUUUUUUGACGGGCCAGAAGAGUAAUGAUAAGGACAGCAAGGGACACCCUCCACGGUCAAUGAUUGCAUGUGGAGAGAUUAUUGCCAUAUAAAGUUUCAGAAGUGCUUCGUCCCUACAUCAUCAGUUGGUGACCGGUUUGCCCUCUGGCCAUCUCGGAUUGCCAUUACUGAUUUUAUUCGUUUUAUUUUUUGAAGCGUGUAAAAAUGUUGGGGGGGGAAAAGGCAAGAUUUACUACUUAAUCAUUUCAGAAUCAAUAUCUUCCCCAAAACUCAACCAAGUAAUUUCAAAUUAAUUCCAACAGCUACCAGUCAUAAUAUUCCAACAGUACAACAUCAAACCAGUAAAUAUGAAUAACUUAAAGCAAAACAAUAUCCACGAAUUUUACAUGAAAAACCCAAUAUAAAAAAAAUUGUGAAGCAUCUCAAAACAACAAUAUAUCAUGACCACAAAAAUAGUUUAACACAAAAGAAAAUAAGAAAAAAAAUCUUAUCACUACCGGAGAAGUUGAAAAUGGAGAAGGAUUUCAACAAAUAAAAUCGAUCAGUUUGUGAAUCUUAAUCUCACGAAUAGCAUACUAAAUUUAAGCCAAUCUCGAUAAAGUUUAAUUGUCGAAUCUAGACUACCUCUUCUCCUCUUUGAAACUAUAAGCUCUCGACCUCUUUUCUCUGCUUCAGCAAACAUUCUUCUCUUUCUCUUCUCGAUCAAGAACGUUCGCCCUUCUCUUUUUCUUUUUACCUUUUAUUUAUUUAUUUAUUUAAGAUGAUGAGCUGGGCCCCAUAAGAGGAGGAUCCAGCCCCCCAAAAAACAUGUAUGAUUACCUUUGGCAAAUGUCGGGACUCAUGGACACAACAAUCACAAGAAUGUUUUUUACUUUAUUCGGAUGUUAGGAUUCAAGCCCGAUCUCACAUUUCAAGAAAAUUAUCCAAAAAGUUUUAAAUUUAUUGUACGACAGUCAAUUUAAUUCUAAACUUUUCAGUUACGCCAAUUUAAUUCUAAAAUUUUUAACAAUUUAUCAAUUCAGUCUUAACAUUUUGACAGUUAUGCCAAUUCAAUCAUAAAUCUAUCCAUUAUGCUAAUUUAUUUCUAAACAUCUUAAGGUUAUGCUAAGUUAGUCAUAAAUAGGGGUGAAUAUGGUUUCAAGAUAGAACCUAGAAUUUGAGAACCAAACCGGUGGGAACCUGUUCCGUCUUAAGUUCCAAGGUAUGCGGGAUAGGUUCUAGGUUUUAAAAAUUGAGAAACAUGUUUUAAUGGGCAGGUUCCAGGUUUUAGGUUGGUGAAACUUCUAACUUGAAACUUAAAACUUGGAAUAAGUUUAUGUGUUUUCCUUGGUCUAUUUUUUCGUGCAAUCCUACAAUAUUCCAUAGCAUUUGAUGACAAGUAUAUAAUCUAGAAUCACUAGUCUAAGAUUCCAAUGAUCAAGAUUUUUACUUUAUUAAUGUUCAUAUUUUCGUUUAUCUAAAUAUAAGUUCUGAUCAGUGAAUUGUAGUAACAAGUGAUGGUUAUUAAAAGUAAUAAUUCACUACAAUUAUUCAAUUAAUAAUACAUGUGGAACUUGAGUAAACCUUGAAAUUGACUUUGGAAUCUGUGAUAGGGUACGUUCGAAAUUCCAAAAAAUGAGAAACUUGUUUCGACAGGUACAUUCUAGGUUAUAGAUGGAAUCUGUAUAGAACUUGGAAUUGCUUCUCCCUAGCCCUAAACCUUUUAACAAACUGCCGAUGUAGUCAUUCUGACUAAUUUUGACUAGAAAUUGUCACAUGAAAAUUCAGCCAAUGCCAGCUAUCCUAUGUGGUGUGGUUAAUGCUGAUAUUGAUGAUUUUUUUUAUUUAAUUUUGUAUUUUCUUUAUUUUUUCUUCAAUUUUUCGGUGAGGCUAUUAGCCCCUUGGCAAGGGUUUGCGAGCACUUGCCAAAUAUGGUGAGGAUAGGCGAGGGUGCAUGCCCUCAUUGUGGCUCGCAAGGGCCAACAGAGGUCGCCAUCCCUUAGUCAGUGGUUGGCAGCCCUACUAGCAUAAUGAAAAAGAAAAGCAAAAAAAAGAAGGGUGGUGCUAUUUCCACCCUUUAAAUGACUAAAUUUACCAUCAUUCACACUAAAAAGACAAAACUACUCUCGAUCUUUCAAUUGCAGUUUUAGAUAAUGGCCCUACUCAUUUUUUUCUAUUUAGGAUAUUUACCAUAAUUAAGAAUUUCACUUUUUUUAUAGCAUAGAUAUCUUUAUAACAUUUUACAUGUUCCAUGUAAAAUUAUCAUGCUAACAGUAAGGAAAAAAUUCUUUGAUAUAGUAUAAAACAAAAAAGUCUCUUUUUCAUCAUUAAUCUUUGCUCCUCUUUCAUUAAAGGCUCGCUUUCUUGAUGAAAUUUUUAUUAAUUUCAUUAGUCUAAAAUAUAUAUCGACUCUCUAGACUAAUGAAUUAUCAACCAUUCCUAAACUGUUGUUUUUUCUUCUUUUAUAUUCAAAUUAGAGAAAUUUGCAUGCUUUUUCUUUUUUGCGAGAAUCAUCUAAAAUUCUGGUAUUUCAAUAAAGUUAAUGCUUAAGAUUCUGAUUUAAAGGAUUAUUAAUAAAAUACAUCGACUUACGAUGUUUUUAUAAAGUUCGAUUUAGUCUUUAGUUCAAGUUUUUGUUUGGAGAACUUUUUUGUUAAAGUUGUGAACUCUUUUGAAAGUAAUUUAUAUUAAAAUAUGUUAUUUAACAAAGGUCGUUAACAAGAUUCAAACUCCAGAAUUUUUUUUAUAAAAAUCAACUUGAGCACAAAAGUAAGAAGAUUAAAGGAUAUGAAGUCCGUAUAAAAACAAAUGGAAAAUAACAUAAAGUGGUGGAAUAGUAUAUUAAUGUUUUGACUAGUACAGACGAUUUUGUAUUUUCAUGACAACGCAUAAUUUUUGUAUUUUCAAUGAACAGCAAAUUUCAACAUUUCCAUCUAUAAUUUUGAUUACUCUUGAGAUUAUUUUCUUCAACUUAGAAGUUACGGAGUGUCAUAACCACUUAGAGGGUGGAAAUAGUGUAAACCUAUCCAAAAAUAUUAUGAAAAUAUGAUUAACUUCUCGAUCUUUUCGUAAAAGAAUUCCUAUUGAUCUUGUGUCACCUACUUUCUAGAUAAUGCUAGAUUUUCCUAUUUCCCUAGAUCUUCUAUUGGGCUCAUUUUAUAUCCUAGAUUGAAGACCGAUUCUAAUUGAAAAUGGUUUCGUAAUAAAGGAUAUUUGUUGUUUUGUGUAGCGAUCAAUCCAAUUACUCUAAAACCUUGAAUAUGUGGAAUGAUAUUGACAUUCAUGAGCAAGCAUUAUUUAAGAAUCACUCAUUUGCCCUUUUUAGUAAAAAUCCACCAAAAAUCCCAAACUAUAUUUAUUGUGACACAUUUACUCCAAAACAUUUUUUGCGAUACUAAAAACCUCAAACUUAUACUCAUGUGAUAUUUCAAAUUUGUACUCGCAUGACAUGUCUACCUUAAGCUUUUAACCUUAGACUCGUAUCCAUGUGAGACAUAUAUGCCAAACUUAUUUUUUAUGACACCCAAACUCCCAAAUUUAGACUUGUGCCACAUAUUUAUCUUUUGUCAAGAUUUUUUUUCCUUUUUUUUUUCUUUUUUCCUUCCUCCUUCAACCCCGCCACUAUGGUCCUUACCAUCACCAUCGCCAUUGUCCUCACCAUCACCAAAUAAAGGAAGAAAAUGAAUGAGGAAGUUAAAAGAAAAAGGAAAAAGAAAGUGAGAAAAGAAAAAACACAAAAUGUAUUGACAUAUUUUUGCCAUGUGAGUGUCACGUCAGCACCGUUUAUUUUUCAUCAUCUAUGUAGGCAGCCACUUGAGAUUUUUAAUGGCUCUCAUUAAGAAAAUUUUAACAGAGAAUAAAUAUUUAGUGUCACGAAAAAAGUUUGGGGUAAAUAUGUCAUAUAGAUAUAAGUUUUAGGUAUAUGGUGUCCCAAAAAAAAAAUUAUGGUGGAUGUAUCAUAGUACACAUAAUGUGGAGGUUUUUUGUGACUUUUCUCUUCUUUUUUUUUUUUUUUUGAGAUGGCUAGUUUAAUAUGUCAAAAUUCUUCCAUGAUUAUGUUGCUGCAUGUGGUCCAGCCAACUAAUGACGAAAGCAUAGUGAAGAUAAUUCGUACAUUAUUAAGUAAAAAAAAAGGAACAAUUAUUUGUUUUAUUUCUCACUUCUUCUGAUUUGGCCACCUUGAUUUAGACGAGAUCCUCCUUCGGUUCCCAUGCAGAUGAAGUCACCAGAACAAACAGACAGGUCUUACCCAACCCAUUUGUCCAUUUGUUAUUCUCAUCUCACUUCAUCCUUAAUUAGUUCAAGGAAAAGCACUUCAUAGAGAGUAUGCACAUCCCUAAAUGAAUGAUUUACAUCUUCUUCUUCUUUUUCAUUUCUUUCCUCUUUUUUUCUUUUUUCUUUUUUGAAUUUGAAAAGUAAUGAUGUCUCACCAAUUAUACUGUAAUGGACCUAACUAGCAGAGACUUAUAUCAUGGCAGAGGGAGGGUUAUGUUUCAAAAUUUGAAACGACACUAUUAUGGUUCUUAAGGGUAGGUGGGAUUUAGGAGGAAAGUUCAUGCGACAACUUGGGACCAUGUGAACUUAAGAUUUCAAGAUAUCCAACAUUAUAAUCCUCCUAAAGUCAUCAUCUCUCUCUUGACUCAACUAGCCUGGCUAGAGCCAACUAGACAAAAUAAUUAGCACAUCUCAAAUGCGAUAUGCCCAUGCUUUUACUUGAUUUAACAAAUGAAAAAGAGCUCAUAUAAGAGAGAAUCUACGACGCAUUUGAAUAGGGACAAAUGAAACAGUUUGGGCUGAACACCGACUUCGUAAUUACUAUUUUAAUUAUCACGAUAAAGCUCUUAACCUUGGAAAUCCCAAACUUAGCUUAGCUUAAAUCUUGGUCAUCACUGUUACGCGACGAAGCCUUACUUUCAUUUUUAAAGUUUUGUUUUUUGCGUGCGCAUCACGAGCAUGACGUAUUUACACUGUCAAACGAGAGCUAGGAGAAUACUCAAGAGACCCCAAUUAAAAUAAAUAUUAUUGGACUAAGAUAUUCUGAAUCAGCUGAUUUUUUUUUUUAACGUAAUGAUUAUGCAAGAUCUCAAGAAAGUGAACUAAGCUUAUUCGCCUCUUUAAUUGGUUCAUGACGUGAUCUAUAUUUUUAUAGUAUAAUGAUACAGUCGUUAUACUUUCACGUGAUUUGAUUAUAAUCCUAUAAAAUAUCACUGAAAAAGGUGAUCUUCAACGGACGAAUUUAUGAAAUAAACUUAAGGAAUCGAUGGUAAUUCGAUAGAUGGAAUUGAGCCGUGCAAAUGCGACUUUCCCAAUAACGAAUAUAAAUGAUUGUUUUUUUCAGUUUGUCGAUACCUAAGAAUUUGGGCGGUGCAUGGGCAAAUUUUUUCCUGUUUGACUUCGGUUUUCGAAAUAAUAGCAGAGACUUUAGAUAACCCCAAGAGCAGAAGCUCCAAUUUUUAUUUUUUUACCUUGGGACCGUGAAAAAGAAUAAAAUAUUACGUCUACACUAAGAGGAAAAUAAGGGAAAAACUUGAUAGAACGAGGGCUACUUUGGUCAAAUUUUGCGACACGUGGAAGAAUGUUGGUGAAUAUAUGGUGUAAGUACCAAGUCUAAAAAAGAAAUGAAAAGUCUCCGCCGUAACCACGACGGAAUCGAGCUGCCUUUCUUGGGGUUUGCAGGGGGACAAGUAUCAAGGUUUUGACUAUGGUGGAGAUUUAUGUGUUAAUAUAUGCAUUAAAGCUUGCGGUGAGUCUUGUGCUUGAGUACUAUGUUUAGCUUCUUCGUAACUUGCUAAGUAUGGUAGUACGGGCUAGGUAGAGGGAAUGGUCAUGACUCAUGUUUCUUUUUUUGUUUUCAUUUGGUUGUCAUGGUCUCUAAAGAGUUUGGGGUUAUCGAGAAUGACCACACUGCAGCAUAAUUACACUUUGACUUGGGCUAAUUCCAAGUUGGGUCUCAAUCGAAAGAUAAGAAAAAAGUGAAGCAAUGAGGCAUAUUGAUGCUUUUGAUAGAUAAUUGGAUGUUAUUCGGCAGAGGGUAUUCAAUUGGCGACAAAAGAUGGAUAGAAUGGUGAAAUUCAAAGUCACGAUGGCCAUGGAAUUACUCGAGUUUAUAUUGAUCUGAAAAUUCUAAGGAUCCGCUCAUUUGAGGGAAAAUUGUUUUCAAAAAUCUGUUUUUGACUUUUUGAUAUUUAGAUGAUGAAAAUCAAUCAAUUUAUUAGAAAGGUUUUGCAUGAACUGAAAAUAAUAAAUUUAGAUUUAGGGAAAGCAACAGCUCCUAAACUAGCAAACAAAUAAAAAUUAAUUAUUUUUUAAAAAUAAUUUUUAGGGAAAAUAUUUUCCAUUGUUAUGAAAUUUUCAAUGAAACAAUUUUGUUUCAAUUCAUGGAAAAUUUUUUCCGUAAAUCAAUUAACUUUCCAUCAUUCAAAUACUAGAAAGCCAAAAGAAAAUUUUCCGGACACAGUUUUCCUUCAAAUAAGUCAACCUUAUACGCAGGGCACUCAAACUCAUCAAACCAAAACACCGACCCUAAUUAUCCCCCUUCUUCCCUCUGUUUAAUCACCCGCCCCCACCGCUACUAUCGUAGACGUUCAAUAUCUCAACAUAUAUGAGGGCUCGUGUUUUGUCUGCUGCUGCCCAAAGACAAGCGAAGAUGACGAUGUUGCUUGGCAGAGAGAAGGGAGAGUGUAGGCCUUACUAGUUAAAUAGGAAUGAGGUAAUUGAAAUAUGGUAAAAUAGAUGGGAAAAAAAAUUAAAAGAUUUCGGGAUUGGAAUUCAUCUUGUGAUGUGUUUCGCUGGGAAUUAGUGAAUACCCUUAAUCAAAGGUUGAUCUGUGAUUUUACCCAAUCGGGUUCAUUGGCAAUUCGCAUAGGAAUCAAAAUUCGUAGCAAAAUCAAGAAUAACUAAGGCUCUGUUUGUUUAACAGAAUACAUUUUCCUCAUUUUCCGGCAUUUGGUUCAUUUAAGAAAAUAAGUCAAUAGAACAUCAAUACUUAAAUUUAGAAAAUGAUUUCACCUUUAAAAAUCAAAAAUUAUUUUUUAGAAUAUGAUUCGGUAUCAGCGCUUGACCCAAAAUUUUACACUUAGGCACAAAAAACCCUAACAUUAGUUCCCGUGUCAUUAGCGUCUAGGACCAAGUCUCCACAACGGGGCUCAAGUUCGUCAAGGUUGGGCCCAUGGCCCCGGUGCCGAUGUUGAUACCCUCGUGCUCAUGCUAGGGUCAAUUGAGGCCAAGCCUGAAACCCCGAUGCUCAAUGCUUGUGCCCAGGUCCAUCGAGGCCUAGUCAAAGCCCCAAUGCCCAAGCUUGGGUCCAUCAAGGCUGCACCGAGGACCCAAGUGCCUGUGGUUCGAUCCUCGGCACCUCAAUCAAGGUCCAUUGACACUGAACUUGAGACUCUAGUGCCUUUAUUUGGAUCCUCGGGUGACUAGGCACAAAUUUCUAGCUCCCAAAUAGUAUUUUUUUUAUUUAAGAAAAUCAAAUCAAAUUUUCCAUGCCGAACAACAAAAAAUAUUUUCCAGUUUACUAUCAAGUUUCUGCCAAAAUACUGGAAAAUAUUAUUAUUUUCCUAAAAAAUGGCUUCUUAGGAAACAUUCUACGGAAAUAUCACAUUUUUUACGAAACAAUUUGAGGCCUAAAUCUAAAGGGAAAGGAAAUGCAAGUAGUGGAAAUUGAUAAAUUGAAACUGAGAGAAUACAUAAGUUUGUAUCGAUGAUCGUAGAUCUCGACAACAAUUCAACAUGGCUUUAUAUAGCCUACUACAAAAUGCAGCUGCUUAUAAGCAAUUACUAUUCAAAUCGAUAGUCAUAACCGCCUCUCAACUUUAGGCCCAUGAUAGCACCGACCUAUCCACAAGUGACUGACUAUAAUUCCUCAAGUUGCCACUUGACUUAACCAUAAAUUAGUAUCUUUAUCUUCCAUUGGCAUCUUCACUUUGUUUUCUCUCUUUAUUUUCUAUUUUCAACACUUAACCAGAUUUUGCUAAAUGACAAUCGUCAAUCAAUCACCAUUGCAUGUUAAUGGUUGUAUAUCAUGAUCAUCGAUAAUCAUAGUCAUCGGCUAGUGUUUUUGUUGUCGAUAACUUGUUGAUAAUCAAAUUGUGGUUGACACUAAGCUUUGUAUUAAUUUAAUUUAGCAUCGUGUCAAUUAAAGGAUUUGGUUAUUUUUCUGUGUCAACAUUAUGAUUUAUAUUUUAACAUUUCAAAUUACUCUAUAUAAUAGAAUUAGUUGAAUGAAAUUAAAAAAUGAGAUUUUAUCCGUAUUACAGUGGCCAAAUCAAAGCCUAUGUUAACAUACCACAUGUAAACUUGACUUUUUUAUUGACUCAAUCUCAUUCCUUUCACAAAUACUUAUCUUCCCCUGUAGGAUUGAGCAUUUUUCAGUCCCGUUUUUUAUUUAAUUACAAUUGAUUCUAACCUACCAAACUGUGUCAAAAAAAGAAAAAGAAAAAGGGAACGGGAACCUAAUUUUACAUUCCACUGUUUUCAUUCCUAACGCCUACGUGUCCACUAAGCUGAGGGUCGUGAGAAAAGGAACUAAACCCAAUUUUUUUUUUCCCAGACAAGAAAAGGGUCGAAAAAUUUAAAAGUGCAGAAGUAUCCAAGUUGCAUUGAUUUUUAUGCCCCGACUGAUCUAGACUAACUAUCAAAAACCAUUCGCCAUCCUCUCACAUGACAGUGUAUCUCGAAACCAUCGAGUUCGUGUAAGUACUAUGCAAAGAAAAGAGGUGGGAAUUUGCAAUGACAAUCCCGAACUUUCAAGGAAAAAGAAACACAAAAACUGUAGUGGAAUAGGAUAAAAACUGUGGCAAUUUCCCAAGUACCUGAGAAAUUUGCUACAGAUGGGACACAUUAAAAAAACCCCAAAUUUGGACCGAUCCUCCCGAAAUAUCCGGUUCACGGGUUCAAAUCCCAGGGGACCCCCAUCAUCAUCGCCUCACCAUCCUCCCAACCACAUGAUCUCACACGUCUCAGUCUUCUUCAAUCAUGCCCGAGUCUUAACAGGUCAACAACGCCGUCAUCAUCGCCAUCAUCGCACCCACUCAUUAAUUGAAGUGUGCACUCGAUUCAGUUACUGCAAUUGCAUGCUUUUGGAGACCAUUAAUGGCCCAUUGUCCACUUCCAUACUCAACUGGCCCUUAAGGACUAGUCAUUGCAAAUGUUUCCAAUGGACUAAAUUAAUUUCUCAUUUGCUAAGAGAUCCACAUGCAAAUAGAGAAGCAAGUUUUUCCUUACUAUUGUUGGGUAUCUAACAUUACUCUGGUGAAGAACUAGAACAUGAUAAAAGAUCGACCUUUAGUUAUAUUCACAAAUGGAAGACUACUAUUCCACCGGAGCAUUAGAUUCUAAAGUUCUAUUUGUACCAAAGUGAUUACCAAUUCAAAGCUUUGAAGGCAGUCCAAUUAUGCCUUCACGUGGAUUUGAAUCCAUAGCCAUGUUUAAUAUGGCAUUAGUCACCAAAUUUAUUUUAUUGAGAGUUUUUGUGUCUUUUAUAUUAAUUUUUCUUUCAGGCUAAAAGCUACAUGUUAUAUCAAUUAUAGAUAGACGCUAGCUAUCAAGUGUCAAGAAGCUAAGAAGAAAAUAGAGAAGAAAGAAAAAUAGAGUUUUUCUCGUACACUGAUUGUGAGACAAGAUCCUUGAUUGUACUCUAGCUUUCUUCAAAAUUUAGUGCAUUCGUAAAAUAUCUUUGCAUAGACACAUAACCCAAGUUUUUGAUAACAAAUUUUCUGAUAUGUUAUUCCAAUAAUAUUCUUUUAUUAUUAUAUUUUAUUUGGGUGGAUUAUUUACUUACGUCAUUUUUUUAAAAAAUUGGCAUGCGAUUCCUAACAAUAAGUUGACGUUGAAUCUUAAUCAACCGAACAGCCUAGCUAUCGGCAUAAUCAAGGUUGAAGUUCAUUAUUUUGCCGACAGGAUGUGUGAUCUUUAUUAGAACUAUUAUAUUGGCGGGGAAAUCUUUUAUGAACCUGUUGGCACUCUGAAAAAGUCACUUUGAAAUUAAAGAUCUCGAGUUAAUAAGAAAGAAAAUGAGAGUGUGGCGGACAGUUACUCAUUAUAGAGUAACGGUGUUGUCCCAUCACAUAAUUUUCUAAGGAAAUCAUGAAUCCCGCUUGGUGGAUUUGCCAACCCACCGAGUAUCUUGCAUUAGAAAAGAAAGAGUAAAUCAACCCAAACAAAAAAUAAGGAAAUAAAAGAAAAAACUUAUUAGCAUCAUAAAAUAAAAUAUUCUUAUAUUAUGUGUAAAAAAGGACGGUAUCUUUAUUAUAAAAGUGAAUAAAUGUAGAAUUAACUAUUAGCAAUAACACUAGUGCUUUUUUACACUUACCAUCGUGAAAGACAAAAUAUCCAAGACCGUAUGAAAUGAACACGGUUGUCAAAACUAAAACUAGAAUACGUUGUAUUUUAACUCUACUCAUGGAGGAACCAUUUUAUACCGCCAAUGUAGAAAGUCAAAAUCCACAGAUAUAUCAACAAAUGACUAAUAAGAUUCUAUGCCAAGUGACAUUUAUUUGUGUGCAAUCAAAGUCAAAAGAUACCAAUAAACAUUUUUUCAAUCUAGGAGUAUAGCUUCAAACAUAUGGCAAAUUGGAGGCCCGUGGAAUAUUUAUAAGCUGCAUGAACCAGAUAAAUUAACACAGAACGGUCUAAACAUAAUUUAUGAAAUUUCAACAUAUGACUUUCACUUUCUAAAUUGGAAAACCCCUGAUAGCCAAAUACACAAACAAUGAGGAAGAGAGACUAAUUUGUAUUCCAAUUUUUAGAUAAAAUAAUUUAUUUGGUUGAGUAUGUUAAUAAAUCAUAAAACCACUAAUUGAAAGUUCAUGAUAAAUAUUAUCCAUGGAUAGGAUAAUUACUUUACUUUUUGUGUUAAUUCCUAUAUACCAUUUCAUUUCUUAUUUGAGAGAGAAAUUCAAUCUUUCAAAAUUGUAGUUCAAAUUCUCAAAGAGUUUUAUUUUUUUGGUUUUGUUUGAAUAAUAUGACCAGAUUUAUUUCUUCAAAUACAAAAAUAAUGCUCUCUAUCAACAUUUUUUUUUUUUUUUUUACUUUUCGGUUGCUCAAUCCCUGAAAAAUGUAACAUUUGAACCAAAUUGUACCUUUAGUGAAAUGAGCAGUAACGAUGUCAUUAGGUUAACAAUGUUUGAAUAAGAAUUGAUGUCAUUGAUCGUACAUUGAUUAUGACUUUGAAUAUGAUAUUAAUUGGGGCAAAUAUUGAUGAGAAAGUGCUAAGACCAUCAAUUAUGACUCUUGACUGAUCAAUAGAACAUGUUGGGUGUUGAAAAGGAAGGGUUUAAUAUUAUGUUGACCAGCACAAUUGAUAUGUAAUAGAGUUGAUGAUCAACUAAUAGCAUUGAUUCGGAGAAGCCAAUAGAAUUAAGUCGACGAGGCAAGAACAAUUUUCAUCGAUCGACUAAUAGUCAGGUCGAUGUCAGACGAAUAGAUGUUGGUCGAGUCCAGAAGCAUUGACAUUGACUCACUAAGUUUGGCUGAUAUCAAAUUGACUGCAUGGAUAUAAAUAACGGGAACAAUUAUUGCAGUCAAAUUCUUGAGCGGGAAAAAUUACCAAAAGUGUUAACCUACGGACGCAAUCAAGCAGUUUUACAGACAAGUUAACCAGUUACUGCAGUCAAGCUCCAGAGGCAAGAACAGUUAUCCCAUCAAAUAUGGAGUCGAAAUUUGACUUAAUGAGCGAGUAUGGUUAUUAGGAAAGACCAUCCAUCCAUGGACUAUAAAAGGACCGCACUGAAGAGAAAAGAACACGCACAAACAUUCGAACAUAUUAUCUAUUUCUAUCAAUCCACUUACUUCCUUGCAAUUCAUUUUCAGUAAUUUCCCAGCAAUUUAUUUCCAGUCAUUCUAGUUCUUUAUUUCCUUUUGUCAAUAACACUUGCCUUCUUCUUUCAGAAAGAUUUGUGCUGUCAGUAGUAAAUUCAUUUAAUCAGUUUUAGAAUCCAUUUGUCAAGAUUUUGUUCCUUCGUUGAUGCAUUACUGUCUGUCAUUUCGAAGUACAAGGACCAGGAUGUUUGAUAAGGGUUGUCAAUCAAUCGAAAGCACAAUAAUUUUUAUUGUUGAGUUGGCAAUUUGCAUGGAACGAAUUUUGAAUAAAUAGCACCCCACCCUUCCGGAGAACUUGUCUAGAGAAUGAAAUGUCAUAUCAUAUGAUCUUUUCAGCGAUAUGUCAAAACUUCCUCCCUUCCAAUAGUGAAUCUAACAAAAAUCUAUAGAGUCGAUCGUCUUUUUAGGACCGAACGAGUAGCUAGCAGGUAGUCAUAUCAUGCGAGGUGUUGCCAAAGCGAUCCUUGUCCGACUUACUAACUUGAUUAGGGUCAACAUCUUUCUGUGCUUUUCACAUGGAGGCACAUGUCGAGAAAUUAAACCUAUAGCUGCAUCGACAGAUUUCACAUUAAUUACCCGAGAUUAAUCAUUAAUUACCCCUAAGACGUACAAAGCGAUUAAUGAACAGUAAUUAAUUCCACCAACUAAGCCGGCAAGACAUGAUGAUCAUCUUUUAAAAAGACUCAAAAUCACUAUUUGCCAAACCAAGCGUUUAGAUGGUUUCAUAAAUUUGAAUUAAAAAAAAAAAAAAAACAAAUGCGAAGUGAUGAAAAAGGGGAGUUUUGGAUUAAAGUGAAAAUGAUGAUGGGAACACAAAAGGAAAUGGUGGCUGUGGGGUUGAAUUAGCCGGCGUAUUUACGUUACCAUGUUUUUUUGUUCAAACUAGGUUUUUGAAUUUUUUUUCUUGGCAUUAACGUCAUAGUAUGAUACAUAUUUUCUUCCCGGAAACGUAUUAAACAAACAUAAAGAUUGACCUUAGAGUCUUGGACUCAAUUUGGCGUUGUGCGACUUGGGUCUCUUUUGAAAAUGUGCGAGUGCGAGGAAAGGGCCGAAGCUUACAAAAACGGCGCAAUGAGCCGUCGUUUGCUAUAAAUAGCCCCUCCACUCUCUCUCUCUUCUCUCUCCCUCUCUCUUUUCUCAACGUCUUGCAACUUUCAACAUCUCUCUCUCUCUCUCUCUCUCUCUGAGUUCAAGUGUAAGUUUUAAAUGGUGGCGUGAAGCAGACGUUUGGAAUAUCAGUCUCGGUGUGUUUUUAUCUUGACAAAGAGACUCAGAGACUCGCCCAAGAACAGCACCCAACACAGUCGCGGCCGCAUCUGCUCUCGUCACAAUGGGCAAGAAAGAGCACAAAGACAACGCGAGAGUCGAAGCUGUUCUUCAACAGCUUCGGAAGCAAGCCCCACUCACUGUCAAACAGGUCUCUCUCUCUCUCUCUCUCUCUCUCUCUCUCUUACAGAAACGUUGCUGUUUUCAUGAUUAUGUCUCGUUUGCCUGUCUUGUUCGUUUGAGGUUUGAGGUUGAAUUUUAAUGUGGGUGGUUGAACAACAGGAGAAGUUCUGCAACAAAGCUUGCGUGGAGAGGUUCUUAAAGGCGAAGGGUGACAGUGUGAAGAAGGCGGUGAAGCACUUGAGAGCCUGUCUCUCUUGGAGAGAUAGCAUAGGCAUUGGUAUUUCUCAUUAUCAAUCUCUCCUACUUCUUUCUUGUCUUAUUUUCAUUUUCUUUUUAAUCUUAGGAAAAAUGUUUGGUGGACUUAUCUUUGUGCAUCACAUCGUCCUAGCUUAGCUUCUUUACCUUUUGUCUUUGGUUAAGGUUGAACCGGAGUCCCUCUCUCUACUUUAUUUGAGACUUCGAAUUGAGCGUUAAAGGGAGCUUAAUCAUUAAAGUCACGCACCCUCUUCAAAAACGAACAAAAGAGAGAAGAGAAUCUUGAUGGGUUUUUUCCCCCUUAUGUUUUGAAUUUGUCUUGAUCUUAGCUUAUAGUACUUUUUUGUUUUGCUUUUGGUGGUGUUUCAUAUGCAGAGCACUUGAUAGCCGACGAGUUCUCAGCUGAACUUGCGGAGGGCGUCGCCUAUGUGGCUGGCCACGAUGAAGAAUCCCGACCAGUCCUGGUAAAAAAACAAAACAGCACAGCCAAAUCAAUAGAUAAUUACUCUCUUUGUCUGUAUGUAUAUGUAUUAUGUGUGUAUGCAAUAUGUUAUUUUUAGCAUAUUUGAAUUUGCUUCUGGUCCACAAGACGUAACUGAAACAACCCAUCGUUGAUUUUUUGCAGCUUUUUCGGAUCAAGCAGGAUUAUCAGAAGUUCCACUCUCAGAAACUGUGAGUGACCUAACGAGGCUUUGAUCUCUCCAUGCCCCUUUAAUUUCGUGAAUUGUCGAGGAUGUACAUAAAAAAUGGAAUGACUAAGCCCAGAGCUGCUUACGAAAACGAAGCGGACAACGAAUAAAUUCUUGCACCUACAAAGUCGCGUAUCAAAAUCUGUCAGCAACCAUUUGUGGAAAUCACUUUUGUUUCGCUGUCUAUAGAACCACAAGCUGUCUAAUUUUCUAUAAUUUUUUCAUGGACUUUAACUUACCCUCGUUUCUUUUUCUUUCCAAAUCUCCAGAUUCACCCGGCUGCUGGUGUUUACCCUAGAAGUCGCCAUCGGAACCAUGCCCAAGAACGUGGAGCAGUUCGUCCUCCUUUUCGAUGCAAGUAAGCUCAAGCUCACUUUCACUUCACUUCUUUUGUCGGUUUUUACUUUUGGGUACAAGCAAUUAAUUUCCCUUUUCACUUUCGAAAACGUCACAUUGUCACCCACUUAACCUCCACAUAUUAUCUUCAAUUUCUUGGAAAACCUCCCCAAAAUAUAAAUAAAACCAGCAACAACAAAAAGCAUUUACAGCAGCAAGAAAAAAGAAACUUCCUCCACCCUUCUUUUUCGCACGCCGUAAAAGCAAAGCAGCAAGAGCAGGAGCAGAUAUAUACAUCCCCACAAAUCCACGAGACAAAAACACAUGAGCAUGCCCGUCCGUGUCGGAGCGCCGAACAGCCAACAUCAACACCGAGCAACCAAAAUUCCUUGAAAAGUAUAUUUUCUCUCAGAAAAUAGAAAAAUAUUUUCUGCAAUAUCGCAAUAUUAAAGAGUUAAAAGCAAGCACGAGAGGGGCAUUAUCGGGAAAUGCGUGAUUUCCGAUACGAUUGCGUCCUAGAAUUAGUCAAUAUCACAUGAGUGCGACUUUCCUUAAAUUCACUGCGUUUUCUGCGCAGAGUACUAGCAAGGGAUUCUGCUUUUCCCUUAUUUCUUAUUUUCAUUUUAUUUUUCGCCCCCUCUUUUUAUAAAAAAAAUUGUGCUUGCUCUGUCAUUUCUGACCCGCAACUGAUAUGCUCAGAAUGUUCAUAUAUAAAUUAUACCUCGGGAAAUCUUUAUUUAGGUGAGCGUUUUUAUCUUAGGGAAAUGGGGUGGAACGGGAUUAAUCGGGCCCCUUUAAAAGAAAUUUUAAUUUUAUAAUUUCCAGUGUUCAAUUUUAUUCAUUUAUUCACGCGGGCAUUAUUGAUCAUGUGAUAACCUAGCAAUAAAAGGAAGAGGGAAAAUAUUCAUGUUUUAUAUAUUUUUAUUUGCAGGCUUUUUCAGAUCGGCAUCAGCUUUUAUGAACAUGUUGCUGGCGUCGCUGAAAAUAGUGGGGGAGUACUAUCCGGGUCGGCUUUACAAGUCCUUUGUGAUCGACCCUCCUUCUCUCUUCUCUUACCUAUGGAAGGUAAAAAAAAAAACAAAAAGAAAAUAUAAAGUUCAAAAUAUUAAUUUUUUCGUUUUCUUCUUCUUUUCCUUUCUAUGUGUUUUGCAUGUGUUGUGCACGUCUUUUCAGCAGCAACGCAUUAUUUUUCUGUCCUGCUUUGGCUUGAAAAAAGAAGAAAAAAAUUUCAAUAAUGUCGCGGGACAACUGGUGACAAAAAAGUCUAUGCUGUUGAGCUUACCUCAACUUGCACUGUUUGACCGACCAAUUUACUUUUCUAUCUCGUUUUAUAGGUGGGCCACGGUCUCGAGUCAAAUCGAUAACUAACCCCCUAUUCGAAUUUUUCUUUUUCUUUUUUACCCCUUUUUUUCUCUUUUCUUUAUGGCUGUUGGCCUUGGUUCUGCAAUCGAUUUCAAAUUCUCUUGACCCGACUUUGAAUUUAUCAGCUGAUCAUUGAUAUUAAAUUACCUAUAAUGAGUGUCGGAGAUGAAUUAUUCUGCAUAUGAUACCCUGAUCUGAAUCUUCUUGAUUUUAUAAAUUAUAAAAGAAGUGCAUUGUAAACUUUAAAGCUAUGAAAGCGAGUGGUCCCAUGCAGUCAGAAUAAUGUAUAGAAGUAUCUCUUCAGACUAAUCUGUGGAAUUUUAAUUUAUGAUUGGAGUUUGGUUUUCGAAAUGUUGCAGGGAGUUCGUCCGUUUGUCGAGCUAUCAGCUGCGACGAUCAUGGUGUCGUCCCUGGACUUUGAGGAAUCCCUGGACUUCCACGACUUCUCGGCCUACCCGCGUGCCUCGUCCCUCCGGUUCGACCCGGAGUCGAUCAAGUCGGCGGCCAAGGUCGGGCCGUGCUCGUCCUCCCGCUUCUCCUUCACCGUGGCCCACCACUUCGACUCGCUCAAGCCGUGGUACCUCACGCUGACCGACACGUCGACAUCCAAGGUCGGACCCACGAGCCCGUCCCCGCUAGGGCCGGCCCUGAUAUCCCCGCUGAACGCCCGGUCCUUCUCCUUUGCGUCCCCAACCGCCAGGACGCCGCAUGGCAGCGUCAUUGGCCCGAGGAAGUCGCUCUUCCCGUCGACCCCGCUGCCCCAGAGGACGACCGAGCAGGUCAAGAUCGCGCAGCCCCGGACCCCGCGCCCCUCAUUCCUCCAGUCCCCGGCCAUGUUCUUCCACCGCAAGGAGUGCCACGUGAGCCGGGCGGAGAAGUCGCGCGAGUCCUUCGUGCCCUUCCUCAAGUUCUACCGCAGGCCAUACGACGAGAUGAUCUACCGGUCGAAGAUGAAGCCCCCGUUGGGCGGCCUGAUCUCGAUCGUCUCGCCCCACCUCAAGCGCCGCCACAUGUCGGUAUCGCAACGGUUCUAGAGAAGAAAAAAACCGAGCCAAAAAGGAAAAGGGAAAAGAAGGGCUAGCGACAAAAUUUCAAGAAUUGGGAGUAUAUAUUGUUUUUGACAUUCGAGUAUCAAUGUGAAGCUAGUUAAAAUAAUUUGACUACGAUCGUUUUUUGGUUGAAUCGAGUGUCCUCGUGUGUUUGAUUUGGCAAGACCGAGAAAGAACGGAAGAAUGAGAGGCGACGUGCUGAACGGGACGUGAAAUCGUGUGCAAGCAAUUAAAACGGUGCACCGUUUUUGGGGUCUUGGAGGUGGUCGGAGAGGGGGCAUGGGGAACGAGACAGCGUGGUCGGAACGGCGAGACAACAAUAUGCCUCGGAAAUCAUAUGCUCUCGUUGAUGGUGGAGAAACUAUUACUAUCUUCUAGUUCUUUUGUAAUUUUUUUUCUUUUGGUGGGUCAAAGAGUAUCAAAGUCCAAGGCGUUGAAAAAGGGAAAAUCUAUGUCCACUCGAUAUGUAUAUUUUAAUUCCUAUAGACAUGUUUGCUUUUUGUGUUUUCUCUUCUCUCCUUCUUGUUGUUGAUUUUCAGUUUGAAAUUGUCGAUCUUGAUGUGGGAUUUUGUUUAUAAUAUAGGGGGAGAAAAAGAGGGAAGUUUGAAUCUUUGCUAGUUGUAAGGUCGUGCGUUGUGUGCAUUAGGUGAGCCGGGGUUGUGUUUUUUUUUAAGGAUGGUUUUGUGGUUUCAACGUUUGGCAGAGAGGUAAGUAAGGAAUUUGUGUCGUGUAGCGUCUUGUUGUUUUAACAGAUGUCAAACUCAAAGUCAAAAUAGCGAAGAGAAAAGAAGCGGGGGAAAGUGAGGGAACUGUGCUUCGAAAUCGGUGGAGCAGAACGUGGUGGAUACUGGAAAGAUACCGCAGGAUCGGUAGUAGAAUAUGCGAGGGGUCUUGAGUUGUAACUUUUGAUGCUCUAGAUCAGUACUGUUAAAAUACUUAGUUAUGAAAAUGGAUGGGAAAAGCACUUCAAAGCUGCAGCACGUCUGCAGCUACAACAUCUCGCGGCAACUUUUUGGGAGCUGGCUUGCUCGGUUUUAAUGUGCGGAGACUAUGCCAUUGUACAAAAUGUACGAGUUACGAUUCUUUACAGCACAACUAAAGUUCUACCCACAACUCGGGAUCAACCAUAACUAUUCCAAACGAGCUCUAACUCACUCGACUUUACUCAAACGCGAUCCACCCAUCAUUUGUUGUUAUCAACAUUAGCCGAGCUAGAAAAAAAAAAAUUAGAUAGAAAUAAAAAGAAAGGAAAAGGAAACUUUUUAUUGGAAGUGGGCUUGAAGUGAAGAUAGAUUGCGAGCUAGGGGUGAGCAUCGGUCCAGGAUCAACCUUGGACCGACCCUGGACCGGCCCAACCCUGCCGGUCCUGGUUCGGUUCCCAGGGAGACUGGGUCGGUCCUUGGUCCUAGAAUUUUUGAACUAGUGCUGUGCGGGUCGGUCCUCGGUCUUGAAAGUCUCAAGUCGAUCUAAUCCGAACCAACCUUGAAUAUAUAUAAUAUAUUAUUUAUAAUUUUUUUACAUAGAGAAAACCUUAAAAUAAACGACGUCAACAACAUUAAAAAACUCUUUAGUGAGAAGUCCAAGUAAUUUUACAUUAUUAUUUAAUAACUUAGAUUUUUAAUGUCUUUUAUGAUGUCAAUAGUCAUAAUUUAUUAAUGAGGAAAAUGUUUUUGUGAGGAGUCCUCACGGCAUCCAAAAAUGUAUAAACAACUCCUUAUGGCAUUCUCCUCUAAUAUUCGUUCUCUUCUAUCUUAUUUGUCCCCUUAGUUUUCAAUUGGCCAAAAUCGAAAGAAAGAACUUCUCUGCUCACCACUUUAUACUUGCCUUGCUUGCUUUGGGUCACUCGUGUCGCUCGCCGCUCGAUGCUCGCUUGGCUUGUUGCUUCCCGCUCGACAUUCGAUGCUCACUCUAUUCGAUGCUCACCCCACUUAACCCUCACCGCUUGCCUUUCUUAGCUGAUCUCACUUAUCAUUGAAUUCAUUGGGUCGGUACGGUUCUCGGUUACCCUUUCAAGGAGUACAAAAAAUAAAACAAAAAAAUUAUUGGUUAAUCUUGGAUUGACCUUGAAACUAUACCGACCCCAUUGGGUCAGUUCAGUCAUCGAUCGUUUUUUUAAGGAGUACAAAAAAUGAAAUAAAAAAUUAUCGGUUGGUCUCGGGUUGAUCCUGGAACUGGACCGAACCCAUUGGAUUAGUCUGGUCCUCGGUCCCAAAAAUUGAGAACCGGCAUUGUGCAGAUUGGUCCUAGGGUUAGGAGGUGGACCGACCCAACCCGAACCAUGCUCACCCCUAUUGCGAGCUAUCUCCUGAAAGGUAACACACUGGCCAGAGACCUUCUCUAGCUAAGUAGAGGAUUUAGAUACCUCCUCAAACUGCUCGUUCUUUCCCUGUGAUCUAAUAUUCAAUGCAGCAGGAUGCCAUGGUAAUUAUCACCUUGGUAACCCAAAAUGUCCGAACUCAAUCUCUCGUUUUUCAAUUUAUGUGAUUGAAUCGAAGUACUCGGUUUUCGCAUUGAUUUGCGAGAUGUGAUUGGUCAAGCCUGUAAACCGUUAAUUUAUAAUUAUGUGAGCAGUACGUCGCGGUUUACACAAAACUAGACAGUAUCAUAUGACGGUACGACGUAUGGACACGGAACUAAAAUUAUCAUUUCUGCAUGGGGGUUGAUGCGACGGGACUUCUGUCGGCUACUGAGCUGUCGUGGAAGCAUCAAGGCAAGGCAUUGUGGGGGGAGGAGCAGCGUCCUUUCGGUGACGUCUCUCGGUUUGGACUCGACUGGUUUGGCCUCUGCUCUUUGCAUGUCCCACUCCCCGAUCAGAGCCCCUUGUUGGGGCUCGAAUGGAGCUUCGAUGUCGACAAGCGCUGCGCGACUGACCCUCUCUCUCUCCCCCUUGCAUCGAUUACGAACUGGCGAAAAAAACAACUGUCGCUGUAUGGCCUUGGAGCUUCAUUCUUUUGUAGCGACGCAGGUUCUAAUGGAAGUCCUGCGUCGCUUUCGCUUGUUCUCUCGAGAUUUUCCGUGCACGAGAGUGAGAUUUGGCCAUAUCUCGACCGCAGUCUCUCUCCCUGCAUGCUUGCGAGAUUCCUGUGAAAGUUGAAUCGAGUGAUGGGUCUCUUACGCUGUUGCUUCGUUCAGUCAGGGAAAGCUGGAGACUUAUGGCAUUCAUGAUCGCUUUUUUUCUCUUCUGUUGCGAUGUGGACAAAGUUUUCACAAGAGUCUCUCAUUAUCGACAGCAACAGAGCACGAUAUUCGUAUCGAGGUCUUUCACCAAAAAGAAAAAAAAAUAAAAAAGAAUAAAAAGAGUUGAAAGAUGGGAGUUUUCAAUGAUUCACUGAAAAUAUUGGGAAAGUUGUUGCCCAUGUCUGGAUUCAUAGACCUAGUUCGAUCACAACCGUUGGAUUAAUGGGAGUUUCAAGUGAAAUCCAUGUGAUCGGAUAUUGACGCGUAUCUCUUAUUGAAUGUCCGGAUGAAUGAUAUUUGUUCUAAGAUUAGCUCUGCAAAAUAUUAUGGAGAGCGAAAACUAAAAUCUAAAGCGGUUUCGAUGUUAUUUUGAGUGGAUGUUAUUGAAGCAAGCUUUCGUUUUUAUUUUAAUUACACAACUUGCAAAUACACCCGUUUCCACAGUCUACUUUACUCUUGAUCUUGAAUGUGUUUUGUCGAAACAUGACCUUCAAUGUUGCUAAACUCAAAUGCAUGAACAACAUCCAUCUAGAACAUUGAAAAAUUACCAAAAAAAAUUCUAAACUUAUUGCAUUUAUAUCACUUCAGUCAUAUACCUUUUAAUUUAACCAAUUAAAUCCUAAAAUUUUUUAAAAUUUUUCAAUGCAAUUCAUCCAGCCAAAUUUGCCCUGAAAUUGCUAAUAUUAAUACAAGUCGUCCUAUGUGACAUCGUCACGCUAACAUUGACAAUUUUUUGAAUUAUUUUUUCUUUUCUAUUUUUCUGUUUUAUUAUUAUUAUUAUUGUGACUGGCGAGGGCUCGACGACCCUUGCUAAGGUGAGGAUAGCCCUUGCUUGUGGCCAAUGAGGUAACCCUCACCGAUCAUUGGCAAAAAAGAAUGGGUAAAACAGAAAAAAGGAGAAGAAGAUAUAAAAAAAUCAGCAAAAAAUUUUAAAAUUGUUCAAUCAACAUUUUUCGAUUAAGAUUGGCUGGUCAAAAAGACUUCAUUUGUAAAUUAUCAAAAUGUUUAGAAUUAAGUUGACACAAUUGAAAGAUUAAGAACUACAUUGGUACAAGUGCAAUAAGUUUAUGAAUUUUUUGGUAAUUUUCCCUAGAAUAACAUGUAUAAACCAAAUGAUAUUUCCACAUGAUGAUAGGUGCGGCACACGUCUAGCAAUUAUGAGGCUUUCAUUCCAUACCCAACCCAUAUUACUAAAAAAACAUUCAUAUUUAACCCAAUAUAUGAUAACUUGUUUCUUAUGAAUUUUUAAACAAGUGGGGAAAAUUCCAAAUAAGAGUCUUAGGUGCCUACAUUUUCUCAUAUAAGGGCUAUAAGUAAUCCUUGAUUUAAAUAAAUACUUAAAGUGCCGCUAUUUUCUUAAAUAAUUAGUUAAAGUGGACGUUAUUUCAAAUAAAGGUUUAAAGUGUCCAUAUUAGUCUCAAAGAAUGGCCUGAUCUCCUAACUGAUUAAGGGUAUUUUCGUCAUCUAUGAAUAUUUUAGUUUCUUUCCUUUUUUUUUGUCUUUUUUUUUUCCUAUUCUUUUCUUUCCAUAAAAAAGACAAGGUCAAAAAAGGAAAAAGAGGCUAAAACAAAAAAAGAAAACAUAAAAAACAAAUAAAAAAAGUCCUCCUAAGGCACCGACAACCAUACUGAUCAUGGCUGACACCCUAUCGGUGAUGGGGUGACAGCCAUAGGCAAGGGAGAGUUGCCAGCCCUCCCACCUAUAUUUUAUUUUAUGUUUUAAGUUUUAGCCUUUUUUUUUUCCUUUUUUGAGUUAUUUUAUUUGGAAAAAAAAUGAAAAGGAAAAAAUGAAAUAAAAGAAUAAAGGAUAAAAAUGUCCUUGACUAACCAAUUAAAUUAGAUCAUUAUUUGAAACUAACAUGACAACUUUAGAUUUAUUUGAAAUAAGCUUCAAUUUAUGCUCUUAUUUGAGAAAGUGAUGGCACUUCAGGUAUUUAUUUAAAAUUUUCUCAAGAAAUUAUAUUGCUAAAACACUUCUUUCGAGUACAAAUAUAGUGGACAAUUUUUUUAAAAAAAUUUAAAAAUUGAUUUUUUUACUUUUAUAUUUAUAUUUUCUUUCUUUCUUUUCCUUUUUUCAUGAAGUCCUGUGAGGGCGAGGUUGGCCUCACCAAAUUUCGUAAAAAAAGGAAAAGAAGGAAAAAGAAAUAAAAUAAAAUGAUGUGGCUUGACUUGAAAAGAAAAAGGCCUCUUAAAUUGGUUAAGCCUUAAGUGGGUCGUAAAUGAAUUUAUAAUAAGAUGAGUUUAUAGCCCACUUAUUUUGGCCCCUUUAUCUUGCAGACCCAUUAUGCUAGCCUGCGAAAUUUGUUAUGAUUUGGAUUAUUAAUGGGUUUUGGACCCAUUUUGACAGGCCUAAUCUAGGGCAAUCUCGACACGGGCCUUGAAAGAUAGGCUACUAGGACACUAGUCGUUAGUAAGGCCAGCACUGAGGUAAUUGCUCGCCUCUCAUGCUCUCAAUCACAUCGUUGAAUUUUCAAAAAUAUUGUCCCUUUAUUUUAUCCGGAAAAAGUGAAAAAAAAAAAAUACUACAUACUAACUUCCGUGAUACUUUUAACGGGAUUCAUAUAUAUAUCAGCUCACGACCACCAAAACAUGAGUACAACGUUGCUUUGAUGUAUUAGAGGAAGAUCCAAGACAGAUGACCCCGAAGAUGACUGAUAGAACUGAAGCCCAUUGGGCUGUUGCAGGACAAUCGGAAUCAGCUUCCAUCUUCAGUUCCUUCAUCCGGUUCAGAUUCCGGUUUGUUGAAACUGAAAAUGAGAAGCAUUCGGUUCCCAAAGGGUCAAAUUUGGAAUCGCGUUGCUAGAUUCUAAGUCACAUCGCUGCGACACAUUUCGCUAUGGCUUCGCCAGCGCAGAUUCAUGAUUUCCUCUUCGUUGAAAGGGAAGAAAACAUUCAUUGCGCAACUGUAAGCAAUAUAUCUUUCAGUGCCGCCAUGGCUUCUAAUUCAGAAAGAUAAACAUCACGACACUUGCUGCGUUCUCCUAACCCUUCAGCUGCACCAUAUGUUGUGCCUACCGGAUGCGAAUUUUGACAAGAUACAAGAACGUGACUCUAGUUCUUUUACAGAUAAACAAUACAUUCAAGUAGGCUCGGCUCAAUGUCUUGACCCUCGGACGGACCGCCAUGCUCAUUGGAAAAGAGUUGCUGCCAGUAAACAGGAGCAAAUGGCUACCCUAUAUAUGCUCUCCACCAGAUGAAAUGACAGCGCAAUUGUCCAUGAAUCUUCAUCACAAGUUUUCUCGUAGAAAGGUAACUAUCAGCAUCAGUUCAUACGACGAUCCGUGAAAACAGUGGUGCAGCUUCAUGCUUGACAUUGAUGAAAACAAGGAAAUUUUGUAACCAAUAACAGAGUUUCCCUUAAAAAAGUUAGUGUACAAUAACAAAGUUCCCCUGUAUGUUUAUUUAUUUAACAUGCCAUGUUCACUGAUUGAUGUUCCAUCCAUCUCACUCAAACAGAACACAAACAUAACCAAUGUCAUUACAUAAGCUACUUAGUUCCUGGUUAUUUGAAAACUUCACGUUAAGAUGCACAGACAGAUGAAUACAGUAUCCAUAUCUUCAGAUCUUUUUCUGCAGGGUCACCAGGUCCAGAGUAGACCCGUAAGUUCUGUUCAGAGCUUCAGCGCACCAUCCAUGGCCAUCAUCAACCGUCGGCAUCCUCACUUCCAUGACUGACACGGCAGGAUGCUGGGCCCCAGGCAGUGCUACUCCAGCUAAAACUCUCAAGACAUUCGAUGCAUCGAUGUCCAUACACACAUUUAUCUCUGGAACUCCCUUGGGAGCAGGAGGAAUCCCGACGACUUUGAAAUAGCCGAGCAGAUGAUUCUCUUCCACCUUCUGCCCUUCUCCUUCAUAAACUACUAUUAGUGCUUCGGUUUGGUUAUCAUGGACAGUUGUGAACACCAGCUCCUUUCGCGCAGGCAUAGUCGUGUUUCUAGGAAUUAUGGGUAUAAAAUGGUCUCCCUCAACUCGUAUCCCAAUGCUAAGAGGCGUAGCUUGAAUUGUUAAAAGAUCCAAACUGCCAAAAGGAUCACUUAUCCCAGAAGCAACUGCCCCUUCCAGUGCCGCACCAACAACUGCAGCUUCCAACAAGUUCAUUCCCUUGUAGAUUUCGUCUUUCCUACAUAUUCCCAUGACAAGAUUCUGUAUUUUUGGAAUAUAUGAACACCCACCCACAAGUAUUACAUCGGCCAAAUCCUCUACUUCGACUUUUGCAUCAUGCAAACACUGCUUUACAAGGCUCUCGCAUUUCUCAAACACUUUCCUGUUGACCUCCUCAAAUUCUGCCCUGUCCACAACCUUGCACACAUUUACUCCAUUUCCCAGAUCAACAUUGAUUUGCACACUAGUCUGUGAGGAGAGCCUGUGGAUUGCAUCCUGGGUUGCAAUUCGCAGGAUCCCCAUCGAUUUAAUGUCACUGACACUGUGACUAGAGAAAAGAUUUUCAGCAUUUGGCAGUAGAUGACGCAUCAUAUUCUGAAGUAUGUCCUCUCCUCCAAUGCUGCUUCCUGCUAAGGCUUUUAUGUGUGAAACUCCUCCCGCUGUAGCAGUCACUGCUACAUCACAAUAGCCAGCACCCAUGUUGAAUAUCAGCGCAAGUUUCUCACUUCCACUGCCCAUAUUAUCUUGCAGAGUCUGUUGCUGUUGCUGUGCAUAUAACAAGGCCACAGCUGUAGGUUCUGGCAUCAACCUAAGAACAUGAAGACCAGCCAUGGCACAUGCUCGCUCGAUUCGGGUCAGUUGGAAUCGACUAAAUGAAACUGGAAUUGUCAAGACAACAUUUCUUAUUGGCCUCUUCAGCUGAAGUUCAGCCAUUGCUCUCAACUCAACCAAAAAUAUGGCGAGAACUUCCUCAGGGGUUGUAGACCUCCAGACGUUGUUCACCAAAGCAGCGAUAAAUGGGCGAACACCAAUGUCCAGAGUUUGUACCAGAAAUGGAAGGCUUUUGCUCGCAUGAACAACAGGGUCAGUAUCAACCCGCCCUAUCAGACGUUUCAUGUUGAAGAUAGCAGCACCAGACAGGAUCUCAUGCUCGUGAGAGAGUUGGCUGCUCACUCCACCUGAAGGAAUUUCAUCCUUGAACAUGACAUACGACCUCAUUAACUUCUGAUUUCUGGUGUUCUUAAGAAGCUCCACCUGGGACCCAUCCCAAAAGGCAACACUGCACUGCGAGGUUCCAAUGUCGAUUCCAAUUGCAAUUUCAGGAAAAGCCGAUGAAGUCUUCUCUUCUCCAGUGUUUUCACCGUCGGAAGCCACAGUAUAUGCAGGUUCUGCCAUACCUGUAUCUCACAUAGGAAGUACGCGGAGCACUCUUCCAUCAGUAGAGCAACAGAGGAAUUUUAACCGACAGUUACCAAUGCAGAAUUACAUCUCCAGAGACCAGAGCACAAGAUAAAGGCAUGAAGAAAUCACGACUUAAUCCCACGCACUCUUAACAUUAAUUAAUUUCAUGAAUACCACAGUUCAACCUUUAAUGCUCUCCUUGAUUGUCCAAAUAGAGAUAACUCACGGUGAAGACGUAUUUAUCCCUAUGUAAGAAUUAUACAUCAACUGAAUGAAACUUGCUUAACAUCUGACAAACAAAUUGUUCUGAAUAAAGAGUCGGAAAAUAGGUGCAGAAAGAACUACAAUUGUUCUGUAAAGCAAGCCACCAGGUGAAUCUUACGCUACUACAAAGAUGAAACAGCAUAGUUAAAAGCCAUGUUUUGGAUUCUGCUCAAUUGUGAAGCAUCCAUUCUUUUGUUCAGCCAUUUCCUUCGCCUUCCAGUUUUCCAUGUCACAAAAUCAGUAUUUCACCACAUGAAAGAAAAAAAAAAAAAAAAACAGUCGCAUCAAGCAACACCAAAGCUUUCAGUCUUCACAUGAAAGAGCAAGUAAAAAAAAAAAACACACACACACACACACAAAGAAAAGCUUCAGUCUUUGGGACAAAUAUUGAUCAAAGCAAAUGAAAGCUCCAAAUUUUAGUCCUCCCAAUAGGGAAAAUCACUCAGUCUGACAUCUAAAAUCAAUGUAUGAGCACUCUGGCGCACUCAGCCGUCUUAACAAUCCCACAUCAUCCCCCAACUGCAGAACCAUUCAAAAAGGCAUACUCACAAACAGCUUCAGGGCAUAGGACAACUGAAGAGUAACAGACAACAGCAUAAAGAGUAAGAGCACGCAAACAAUCAGAGCUGGCAAAUUUCACACAGCUCAGCUCAAGCAGGCCGAUUUCCUCACAAACACCAGAACACUAACAGCAUUUGCUAAGUCUACGUUAGAAACGGUACCAGAAGCCAAAGAGAUCAUUGCAGCUCAAGAUUUUUCAGAAAUUCCAUCCACUAAUCAAGAGAAACUGGAGAUGGUGGUCACAUGGGUAUUGCGAAAAACAAAAUGGGAUGGGAGUCUGAUGAACGAGCUUACUUGCGCGAGACAGGAAGAGCGGCUUGCUCGGAACGCACGAGAACUUUCGGACGGGCUUGUGUGACGUGCUUGAGCUUGGAAAAGAGAAUGCCGGAAUUUGAAGAAGUUCUACUGAAGGUGGUGUCAGGUUCUAGAGUUUCCGAGAGGACAACAGAGGCUACGAGGGUGCUCUUCGAAGUCUUUGACGAUUUUUUUUUUUUUUUGCAUUUAUUUCAUUUCAAAAUUUCAUUUAAAAUUUAAUGAACAGUUUUGUUUGCUUACUAAUAAAGAACAUUAGCGACUUUUCACGUCACGGUCAAAUUCCAUCGUUAAGCCAAUUUUCUCACAUCAAUUUAAGUUCGCGUUUGAUGAAUAUUGUCUUUCCAACAAAAAAACAAAACUAAAUUCACCUUCAUUUGCGAUAAAUCAAAACCAAGACAUUUUUACAAAAAUUAUUUUCUCGCGGUGUAAAUUAAAAUGGUUACGUUAAGAAGUAAUCCAACUUGACUCGAGAUAACCAUUGGGAUUUUGGCCCAGUACAAAAAAUUAUACACGAUUCCGCGUAUCCUUACUUCAACAUUCUGCCAAAAGUAAGGAAAAGAUAAUACUUUAGGGAAAGAUAAUACUCUCUUUGGCAGUUUGAGCCCGACAUUAAGAAAUUAGUAGCUUUUUGAGUCUUAUAUUGGGGUUCAUCCGCUAAUUUUGAAGUUAUAUGAUUGCUCAAUUUUUUUUUUUCUUUUCUGAGUGGGCUCAAAGAUUAAAAGUUUCUUGGUGGAUCUAACGGGAUUGGGCGGGCUUGACGAAAAGAUAGAGCCGGUUAAAAAAAAAUUGAUAACAAGCUCGACGGCCAGGCCUAAGAGCCCAAUAUCUAACCCUAAAACCUUUAGCUAGCCCACUUAAUUAAAGAAUCAUUCCAUCUAUACUACUUAUAAAGAGAAAAGUUAGAGUAAUAAUGUCUCACAAAAUUGACAAUUUGUAUCCUUUAUUAUCUCCUCUAUUCUCCACUCUUUUCUUUUAGGGAUAAGUGCACUGAAAGUUCAAAAAUUUCUCAUGAAAAUACAAUUGAGUUUUAAAACUUACAGAAAGUACAAUUGAAUCCUAAAACUUGUCAAAAUUGAUGCAAUCGAGUUCUUUUCAUUAACUUCAUCCAAUUUAACUAAUGCAAAAUACUGACAUAGGUUUUUUAAAUAUUUUCUCUCUCCGACAUGGCGAUAACUUAACCACAUGUCGUUAUUUUAGUCCAAAUCUUAUUUUAAAACCAAAUUUUAUAUACAUCAAAUCAAAAGAUAUGCAAAAUUAUAAUUAGAAAAAAAAAGUGUGUAAGGAACAUGCAACGAGGGCUUUUGCCACCAUCACCCCCACCAUCCCCUCCCGACGAUGGUGGAGUAUGGCCGAUGACCCUCCCCUAGAUCGAGUAAGGGUUCCCUUAGGUCUAGCCUAGGGCAGAUGGCCGAGGGCCAUUGGUCAUUAGUCGAGGCUGAACAACCCUUGCUACCUAGUUCCUCACACAUUUUGCUCUUCUUCUUCUUCCUUUUUUUUAAAUAAUAAUAAUAAUAAUAAUAAUAAUAAUAAUAAUAAUAAUAAUAAUAAUAAUAAUAAUAAUAAUAAUAUAAUUGAAAGAGCAUAUUUAAACCAAAACGAUGUCAUUUUAGCCUUAAAUUUCAUGAUUUAGUCAAGUCAUCCCCACAUAGGAGAGAUAAAAUAUUUUUAAAAAGCCACAUCAAUGUUUUCCUUUAGUUAAGUGCGAUGAAAUUAAUGAGAGUACUCAAUUUCAUCAAUUUAAUAAAUUUUAGGACUUGAUUCCCUUUGAUAAGUUUUAUGACUCAGUUACAAUUUUAUGAUAAAAUUUUGAAUUUUUAGUGCGCUUAUCUCUUUCCUUUAUUCUAUAUUUCAUUUUGUGUGCUCCUUUUCAUUUUUUUUUCCUAAAAAUUCGAAUUGCCAAUAUAAUUUUAGAUGGGAGUUCUCGCUUCAUUAAUUAAACUAAUUAAGUUUGGAUGUGUUCAAUUAGGCGUGAUGGAUUCAAGAAGGAAUCACUUUGUCUAAGCUCGUGCAUCACAUGAAAUAUUAAUUGAGCUUUGGUCCAUUGUUUUUUUUUUUAAUCAAAAGAUUGUAUUCAUGGCUCAAAAGGAUACAUGAGAAGUUAGACUUUCAUGAUAAAGCAAAUCGAAGCAAAGCAAAUACCAAAACACUACAAAACAAGCCAAAUCUAGAAAACAAUGAGGAUCAACAAAAUACUAGUAGGAUUAAGCAGACGCUCAUUCCAAAAGAACGGAUUUGUCAAGCAAAAUAAUUGAUGGCCAAUUACUGGAUCUUAUAUCAUUGUCAGUUAUGAGCAUACGUCAAAAAUUCAUUCUCCAAUAAUUAUGGCGUUACCAAUUGGCAAUGCAUGUCUAAGUUCAUCUUCUUCCACAUCAUCGUUAUAUGAAAACAGCUAAAAUAGGUUGAAUAAACACAUAUCUAACCUUUAGAAGAGCAAAUCUUCAUAGUUUAACCAGAUGCUAAAAUUCUUGCAAUCAUCAUUGAAACUUGAGGUAAAGAACCUAUAUACAGAUAGUACAAGGGUAUCGAAUCCUCGAAAACAUGAUUAAAUUCCCAUAUCUAAAUCAGGAUAAAAGAACUCAUAAGUCUAGAAUUAGAUUCGAAGAGUUUAAACUGUCAAAUCUAGAAUUAGAUCGGGGGAGCACAACUCCCAGAUCUAGAUCAAGAGAAAAAAUAGGAGGAAAUUGCAAGAAAAACUCCCCAAAAAAAAUCAAAAUAGAUGAAGGGGAGGGUGAAUUUAGCUCAAACCCAAAUUCUUCCCAUGGUUGAAGGUUGAAGAAGACAGUGGGCUUUGGCCCAUUAUUAAUCAGUGAACUUAUCUGGCUUUGCCAUUGCCUUAUUAGUCCGCCUCUAAUGACAUAAAUUGUCUCAUCACCCCCAAACAAAUUAACAAUUAUAUUCCUUUUUAUCUUAAUUUGAGAUGGAAAUCUAGUUUCCAAUGUCUAAACACAACGAAAUUCGUAGGCACGUGGCAUCAUUUGGACAAGUGUUCUAUUUAUGACGGCGUUUUGUAAACAUGGUAUUUCUAAAUUUAGGGGAAUCAGCAAAAAAAAGCCGGCUCUUUCCUCGGAAAAUCCUAGUCAGAAGUCGAAAGCGGUAACUUCUGGUAUACCAUAAAGAACGAAACUUCCAAUUCAAUCGGUUAUGCUUUCCACCUCUCUAUUCGAACAAUCUUUGCUAAAGUUGAACGUCAGAUUGACUUCGAUUUGAUCGCUCGACCACCCUCCACCUCUCUAUAUCGAGUAAUCUUGCAUUCUCUCACGCAUCUAUUCAGGAAGGAAAUGGGAUCAUCCGCAAAAAGCAGACGAAAUCUCACCUUGCAUUGUCAAUUUAUUGAGUUAUUCGAAACAAAUAUAAUAACUUUUUUCCGAACACGAGGUUAGUGAUUCAACGUGAAUAGGAUGGAAGUGGGCGAUCGAAUCAUUGCGGUAUUCGCUUGAUAAAUUAGUGCCUAAAGCUGACUCAUCGUUCUAUACAUCAACAAGAAGUAUUCCUUAAGUUUGGAUGUCGCUGUAGCCACGUAAAUUAUUGACAAGGACACGGACCCAACAUAAGCAUCAGCAAAAAUCACUUUUACCCUUUCGCUUUCACCAACAAAAAUAGGAUACAAUGAAAUGAAAACACGCUAGGGGCAAAUGACUCCAUUGGUCCCUUCACACUCCCUUUCCAAGUCCCUGUCCGUGUCCAUAUAAUAAUUUCAUUUAUGUUGCCGAUGAUUUGAAGAUACACGUAUUUCCUUGAUCCUUCGAUGUGAUUUUUCACAUAUCUCUUAUGAGAAAAUUUUAAAUGAGGAUCUAAAGUGAUAUAAAAAAAAAAUAGAAUAGACUUAAUUUCACAUAAAAAAAUUGAAGUGAUCAAAUUAGUUUCAAAUAAGAAUUUGAAUUCAUCGGCAAUCAAAUGUUUGCUAACCACAUUUUUCAACCACUAAAAUAGGGAUAAUUUUGUCCGGAAAUUUACAAUUAGGUAAAAGGUAGAGAAAAUCCUUGAAUCGAAUUGAGACUAAGUUCAUUUUUUUAUUUCUAUUCUUCGUUUUUGAUUGCAAGUUUUCUUCUUCCUCCCCCGUGGAUUGUGUCCUUGUCAUCACCAUCGCCAUCUUCGCUCUUCUCGCCCUCUCUCUUCUGUCAGCUACAUUAUUCAAAACCGAGGUAAGUUAUUUCGUAAAACAUAUAUAUACCGAGAACACAGAAAUUAUACAAUUUCGAUAAAUCACGUAUAGUUACUAUCUUAAAUCUAUAGUAUGUUUUGUUUCAUUUCUUCUUAAUUAAUCAUAAACAUCUUUUUUUAUGUGGAUCAGCCACCUUAAGUUCUAUGCGUAAUCUUGACAUCCAACAUGUAUUCCUGAAUAGCCUCAAAUUUUCAAUUAUUCAGUCAAGGGUGGCUUGAUUAACCAAAGUUUCUCUUGGCAUAUCCUCAUUGGUUCACUUCUUAUAAGAAGCAAACAAACUCUCUCACCCUGUUCAAGUUGAGAGCAAUGACUUUCCCCUCCAAAAUCCUGUUCUUCCUCUCUCUCCUCUUCUUCUCAUCCAUCAUCACUCCCUGUGCCGAGUCAACUCGCCGCCGCCACCGCCACCGCCGGCAGCCACACCCACUCGACCCCCUUACUCCCUCGGAGCUCGAACUCGCCCGAGCCAUAGCCUCCGACUCGUUCCCCGGCUCGCCUCCCCGCAACCUCACCUUCCACUACGUCGGCCUCGACGAGCCCGACAAGCCCCUCCUCCUCUCAUGGCUCUCCGCCCCCUCCCUCUCCCCUCCUCCCCCGCGCAGAGCCCUCGUCAUCGUGCGAGCCGACAAGCGAACCCACGAGCUCACCGUCGACCUCUCCGCCGGCCGCGUCGACUCGGCCCGAGUCCACACCGGGCACGGCUUCCCGAUCCUCACGUUCGCGGAGCUGGCCGCCUCGAGCAGCCUCGCACGGCAGCACCCGCCGUUCCUGGAGUCGAUGAGGAAGAGGGGGCUCAAGGCGGAGGAGAUCGUGUGCGGGUCCUUCACGGUGGGCUGGUACGGGCAGGAGGCGAGGAAGGUCGGUCGGACGGUGAAGGUGAUGUGUUACUACCUGGACGGGACGGUGAAUUUGUAUAUGAGGCCGGUGGAGGGAGUGACGGUGACCGUUGAUCUGGACGAGAUGAGGAUCGUGGGGUUCAUGGAUAGAGUGAGGGUCCCAGUGCCCAAGGCCGAUGGGACGGACUACAGCGGAUCGAACGAGCGGGUCGGGCCGGCCCUGAAGCGGAUCGGGGUGGUGCAGCCCGAGGGCCCGAGUUUCACGGUGGACGGGCAUAUGAUCAGGUCCAAGGCAAAGUCAUCACCCUCUCUCUCUCUCUCCUUGAUCAUCAAGGAGUGAUUAUAUAAUGGCAUGAACCCUUGAGGACAAAUAUAAAAAUAGAAAGGACCCAUCUUCUUGUAGACACUGUGAAAUAUUCAUGAGAUUAAUUUGUUCAGAGUAUCAGUAAUUUUCUGAACAUAGGUUAAUAACUUGAUGAUUUUAACUUUCGAUCUUGGUAUUGGGUUUUAAGAGCCGUUUUCUUUGAGUAUUCGAUAACAGCAGUCGUGCUCUGAUCAUAAAAUCUUGUGACUUCUCAAUGCAUCAGGUGGGCUAACUGGGAAUUCCACUUGAGUUUUGAUGUGAGAGCUGGUCCAAUUAUCUCGCUGGCGUCGAUUUACGACGCGCAGAAGCAGAAAUUCCGGCAGGUGAUGUACAGGGGAUUCAUUUCGGAGCUGUUCGUGCCGUACAUGGACCUCACAGAGGAAUGGUACUACAGGACCUUCUUCGAUGCGGGCGAUUACGGGUUCGGACUCUGCGCCGUGCAGCUUGAGCCAUUGCGGGAUUGCCCCGAAAAUGCCGUGUUCAUGGAUGCAUACAUUGCUGGACCGGACGGGAAACCUAUCAAGAUGUCCAACGUUUUUUGCGUGUUCGAGCGGUAUGCUGGAGAUAUCAUGUGGCGUCACACUGAGCUUGGCAUUCCUGGCAAAGUGGUGAGUCAUUUUUUCUUGUUUCCCAGCAGUUCUUUUGUGUUUUUGUCCCGGGAAUUUGAGGUGAAGCUUUAUUUGAAACAAGCGACUCAAGGAGUGAUGUUCUCUUUGAUUUUGAUUUUUUUUUUUUUUUUUUGGGCUAAGAUUGAAGAUAGUUGGGUUUGGCAUUUACAGAAUUUGAAUAGGCAAUGAAGUGAUCGUUGAUUGCUUGGCCUAGACAGGACAAACUGGUCCGAAUGGAACUAUUAAACUACACCACUUACCCUAUGAUAUACACUUUGCUUUAUCUGAAGGCUGUAGUUAGACGUGAAGGUCUCGGUACGCUUUUAUAUGAUGCUCCGGAAGACCUGACUAAGCUUGUUGCAACCGACUGCGAGACCUAUUUCGUACAGUGUUAGGCUGUUCUUAAAGAGAGAUUGUUAAUUUGAUGAAGAUAAUUUAACUCUGGUCUAGGGCGGUAAGCUCUAACUAUGAGCUCACAGAAAUGACUUAGAUUCCUGUAUGGCCUUUGCAAUAUGACAGCUGCAUUAGUUCAUUCCUGGAAAAAGUCUGCAGAAUGGUCUUUCACUAUUAAAUGGGGAGAUGCCUUUGGUUUUGUUCUCCGCUCCAUGACCCCUUUUCCAGAGCUUAAGAACCAUUAUGACUUUCGAAGUCGAUACGAACUAUUUUACUUUGCGAUGCUCUGAUGCAUGACUGCUUUCCGAGCAUUUCAAUAAACCUGACAUCUUAUCGAACCGGUCUGGCAGAUAAGAGAGGUGAGGCCAGAGGUAAACCUGGUGGUGAGGAUGGUUUCGACGGUUGGCAAUUACGAUUACAUUGUGGAUUGGGAGUUCAAGCAGAGCGGAUCCAUCAAAGCCACAGUAAGUCUCCCAAGUCAUUUAUUAUCUUUCUCCAGUCACUUGAUCUUCUUCCGCAUAUGAAUUUUGAUAUAACCUGAAGCUGACACUUCUUUUGCGCAAAGUGACUGGCCAUUGUCUAUAUUGCUUCGAUUGGCUGCAGGUAGGGUUAACCGGUCUACUGGAGGUGCGGGGUUCGAAGUACACGCACAAUGAUCAGAUAGAUGAUGAAGAAUAUGGUGUACUGCUAGCAGAAAACACCUUGGGCUCGCGACAUGACCAUUUCCUCAUCUUCCACCUCGAUCUCGACAUCGAUGGUGAUUCCAACUCCUUUGUAAAGUCUGUCUUUAGACAGACCCCAGUAGCAGAUCACCGAUCCCCCAGGAAAAGCUAUUGGAGUGUCGUUAGCGAAACGGCUAAGACGGAGUCCGACGGGAAGAUCAAUCUCCUCAGCUCAGAACAGGCGGAGCUGUUGGUGGUGAACCCAGGCAAGAAGACUAACGUGGGGAAUAUGGUUGGAUACCGUCUUAUCCCUGGAUCGAUAACUGGGCCCCUCCUAUCGGACGAUGAUUAUGCCCAGAUCCGCGGAGCGUUUACCAAGUACAACGUGUGGGUCACGCCAUAUAACAAGUCGGAGAAGUGGGCCGGUGGGUUGUACACUGAUCGGAGCUAUGGCGAUGACACAUUAGCCACAUGGGCCCAAAGGUAGUCUUAGUUUCUCCACUGUAGUGAUGCCUUGAACUUCUAGGAAGUGAUUAGUUAUCAAUUGUUUGAUCAUUAAUAUUUCGAGCUGGUUUGAUACUGCAGAAAUAGGGCAAUAGAGAACAAGGACAUAGUGUUGUGGUACACCUUGGGGUUCCAUCACGCUCCAUACCAGGAAGAUUUUCCACUGAUGCCGACGUUGAGCAGCGGGUUUGAGCUACGACCAGCCAAUUUCUUCGAGAGCAACCCGGUACUCACAGUUGUACCACCUGAAGUGGUUACGUGGCCAAAUUGUUCCGUACCUUCCAUUAUUUAGAUUGAAAGAAUGACCUUAAGGAACAGGGUAGUACCUUUAUUCCCUUCUCCAUAAUUCUCAAAACAUUGUUAUUUCGAUUAGAAGGAAGGAUCAAAUUCUAGCUAGCAACGGAACAUUUGGAUAUGUGCUCUGUCUUUUGCUUUUGCAGUAUGAUCAACUGCCUUGAGAAAAAGAAAAGAAGGUUAAGGAGUUAAUGAGAUCUGAUCUUGCAAAUGCAACCGAGAUAACACUCUGAUCAUCGAACAGAUCGCAUUGGAUUGGGUAGCCAUUGGACAUGGUCACCUUCUUCAACUUCAACAAGCUGUAUCGAGCUUUUGAAUUGCCUCUCGAUCGAUAAACCGAAAAUUGGAAAACCUGUAUCCUUAAUUGGGGACUGAAUCAGGGCAAUUCAUAGUUAUAAAUGAAGGGACUGCAUAAGCAGUUGGUACCAUAUGCGUUAUUGGGCCUUGCUUGAACCAACUAAUCCAAGAGAUACGUCAUAUCUGUGUACUUCUUCUUUUGAUCCAUUCGAAUUUUUCUAAGCAAAAGAAAUCUUCUUCUUCAUAUAAAGAUUUAUCUUUCAAUACAAUCCUUACACGACAAGUGGGUCUUUUUAUUGCAUAACUCCGCCCUCGAGCUCGAGGUUUUAAUUUUUUCAUAGUAGUACCAGCUUUACUAAUAACUAAGCUUGCUUCAUUGAAACCCAUAUUAUGACUAGUAUUUGCUGCUGUAGAAUAAACCAACUUAAAAAUGGGAUAACACGCUCCGUAAGGCAUAAGUUCGAGUAUCAUAAGUAUUUCCUCGUAGGAACGUCCAUCACUCCAUUUCUAGGAAAGAUCAUCUCUAGGGCUUGCAGCUAAGGAUGACAGGUUCUGGGGAUUUCGUUUUGAGCACUGGGUUUCUGUCGAAGAAGUUGGUCGGCCGGAGCUCAAAACCUCCACUCAGCGUCGGCAUUAUCGGGAAGUCCUCUUGGUAAGGGACGUGAUGAAAGCCCAGCGUGUACCACAACACAAUGUCCUCAUUCUCAAUCUUCCUGUUCCUGCAUGAUCAAAUACCAGUGACUAAAUGAAUCGACCUUGUCAUGAUAAAUAGCAGUUUUGCGCAAUAGACAGAUAAAGGAUGGAUCGUGGUGAUAUAAUAUAGAACGGGAGCAUUAUAUUCAGUCCUAAAUGAUUAGUACAGAAUGUAUGUGAGAGAACUCUAAACGUUCUGGAAAAUGUAAUCAAGUUUUAAAAUCUUGCCAUAAUUGGCAUUCCAUUACCAAAUUAAGCAUAUUUUUUUACUAUAACAGUACAAAAAAAGGAUCGUGUUUGGCUUUCAUUGUAUGCUUGAAUUGCGAAAUUUAAUUGAGAAAUGAGGGCGAAAAUGACAUAAAUGAUCACCAAACUUUGACUUAAUGUAAAAAUGUAGUUAUUGAACUUUUAAUUUGUUCAAUAUGAUCUAUGAACAUAUUGAACAUGUACUGUAAGUUCAUGGAUCACAUUGAAUAGAUUAAAAAUUGUUGAAUCACAUUGUACAUUGGGGGUAAAGUUUAAGCGCCAUAUUCAACAAAUUAAUAAAUGUUCAAUAACUACAUUAUAUAUGGGAUCAAAGUUAAAAGACCACCCAUGUCAUCAUCCCAAAAAUGAGACUAAAAUGUUAGGAACAAUUCAUUAAAAACCAGUUGAAAACUUAAAACUUAGAUUUGGCUCUUCAAUAUCAAAAUCAACCCCGAAAACUAGACCAACCGUUCAAUUAAUCAAUCAUAGAUAUUGAAGCCGAAUAAGUUACCCCUUGCCUCAACCGUGAUAUCGAGAUUAGCAAAGUACGUAAAUAUACAUUAAUCAAAAGUUACCUCUUGGUCCAAACAGCCAAUGUAUCAUCCCCUCGGCUUUGAUCGACGUAUCGGCCACUGGCCCAUUUUUCGCUCUUGUUGUACGGAGUCACCCACAAGUUGUUGUUGGUGAAAGCGGAGCGGAUCUGCGGGUAAUCAUCUCGGAACAGAAUGGGGCUGGCGAUCGGCCCGGGGAUGAGGCGGUACCCGACGUUGUUCCCGACUUUGGUUUGCUUGUUGGGGUUGACCACGAUGAGAUCACAUGGCUCCAAUCCCAAGUGCAGCUGCGCCUCCGACUCAGUUCUCGCCGUCUUGCUCGACACGGUCCAGUAACUCUUCCUCGGCACUCCUUCCUCGGCCACUGGUUUCGUGAUCAAAUUGGUCUUGACGAAGGAGUUUGGAGCACCAUCGACGUCGAGGUCGAGGUGGUAGGUGAAGAAGUGGUCGUGGUGCGUAGCGAUGGUGUUUGCUCCGACCAUCGUGCCGUAUUCAUCCUCUUUUAUCUGACUUGCGUGAGUGUAGUUCACUGCUUUGACUUCUAGUACUCCAGUCAGUCCGACCUGUUGAUUAGUUUGGUAGCCAGAUUCGUAGUGACAAAGAAAUUGCUGAUUAAUUUUUAUAAAGCAAAUAACAUAUGAAGUAAUAUAAAUUCAAUGAAGAUUCUAAGUGGGGAAAAUUGGGACGAGUGUAGUACGCCCCUAGAAAAAGGGAAAGCUUACGGAUGCAUGUUGCAACAUUAAACAUGAAAUUAUGCAUUCAUCUAACAUCUAACUUCAAUUGACAUUAUUUCAACAAAAUUUCACAUAGAAUUAGAGCAUAAGGCCAUGGAUGAAUUGAUUUUGUUUUUUUCUGAUCCUUAUUUGCCUUCUCAGUCAUCAUUUUCCACGAUUUAACUUGAGGUCAAACUCCACUCUACACACAAGAAAUGUUACAAUAUUUAGGUAGAUAUUAAAUCACACCACUUAAGCUUCCGUUAGUAGUGAUCUAUAGAAUUUGAUAGGAAAAUUCCAAAUAAGGGUUCGAAGGGCUUUUAAUUUUUCAAAUAAGAUUUGAAGUGGACAUUGUCUCAAAUAUAGGCUUGAAAUAUCUUUAUUUUCUCAAAUAAGGGUUUGAAGUGGACAUUGUUUCAAAUAAAUACCUAUGUCAAUCUCAAAAAAGAACCUGUCCUCAUCGGCUGGUCAAGGGUAUUUCUAUCUUUUAUAUUUUCUUCACUUUUUUCUUUCUUUUUUCCUUUUUCUAUUUUUAAAAUUAGAAAAGGAAAAAAAAGCUAAAAUUAAAAAAAGAAAAAAAAAAGAAAAAUAUAGGUGGGAGGGUUGGCCCCAACCCUCCACCUGGUUUUUUUUUUUUUUAAUUUGUGUUUUCUUUUUAUAUUUUAGUUUUAGCUUAUUCUUUUUUCCCUUUUCUUAGUUUUUUAUAAGAGAAAAAGGGAAGAAAAUAAGUAAAUGGGAAAGGACGAAAAUGCCCAUGACUAGCCAAUAAGGUCAGGUUCUUCUUUGAGAUUGACAUGGCCACUUUAGGUUGUUAUUUGAAAUAAGGUCCAUUUUAGACACUUAUUGAGAAAAUAAUGACAUCUUAAGUCCCUAUUUGAGACAAGGUUCACUUCAAACGCUUAAUUAAGAAAUUAAGAGCACUUCGGCUCUUAUUUAAAAAAUUAAAGGCAUUUCAGGCCCUUAUUUAGAAUUUUCCCAAAUUUGACAAUGCAUUGAUUAGAAAUAUGGACCAAAAGACAGAAAAAAGUGGCUAUGCAUCGACACCCCAUUACCAAAUGUAGAAAUUUCUAUGUUGAAAAGCCUUAUAACAUCACGUUAAAUUCAAAGAUUAGAAAUUUCUAUGUUGAUGUUGAUCUUUAGGAAAGUUUUCUACGUAAUUAAGUCAAGAAUGGACCCCUCAUAGAUUUAAAUUCAAAGACACACCCGAAAUAGCUUGAACUUUCCAAUAUUCAGGACGUUAAAUUUGACCAAUGUAUGUUCUUUGAUCUAAUCAAUUUGAAGAGUCAAUAACAUACCUCGAAUUUGAUGGCUCCACUUGGCUUGAACUCCCAAUCAAGAAUGUAAUCGUAGUUGCCAACCGUAGAUACUGAUCUCACCACCAGGCUCACGUCUGAUCUAACCUCAUUAAUCUGAAAAAUCAUACAACGUCAGACUUGUCAAAGUUUUCCUUAAACCUUAAAGAUUGAAAGGACCGAAAAUCAAAGAUUGCAGAGUAUUCACACUUAAGACUCACUGACCUUCACAUCCGGAAUUCCAACCUCAGUAUGACGCCACAUGAUAUUUCCUGCAUACUUUUCAAACACACAAGUUACAUUCGGUAUCUGUACUGCGCUACCAUUUUGGCCCGCAAAAAAUCCGUCCACGAAUACCGCAUUAUCGGGGCAGUCUACCCUCGGCUGGAGUGACACGGCGGACAAUCCGAACCCGUAUUCUCCACUGUCGAAGUAGAUCUUGUAGUACCAUUCUUCAGUUGGGUCCAUAUAGGGCACGAAGACCUCGGACACAUAGGCUCUAUAUAGUACCUGUCGAUAUUUAUCCUUCUCGAGAUCGUAGAUCGAUGCUAGCGAGAUGAUCGGACCGACUCGGACGUCGAACCCUAGAUGGAGCUUCCAAUUGGCCCAGCUGCGCCACAACAACCUUUCGAUUAAAUGACGAUAAGGGCCUAUAUGUGCACUUGUCUCCAUUAGAUUUUAUGAUAAAUUCCUAAAAAUAUGUUCUGAUAAGUGACGAGGUUAUUCUAAUAGAGGCUCGUGAUUAUGUCGCCAACUCAAACGAACGUACCGAAUUUACCACAAAUGAACCAAUCGUAUAGUUGUGCAUAAGCUGAGGUUAUGCUAUGAUGUCUAUCUGAGCUGAUUGCUCUCUCUCCUUGACAUGAUGGCCUAGUUGGUUAAGACUUCUCUACACCUUCUCUGUCAGGUCGAGACCGAACGAGAAGUUACUGAAAAUAGAUCGUGAGCAGCUUGCGCAUUUCGGAGGUGCCAAUGUGACAUGCUUAAUUAUUCGUCCUUCAACUCAUGCCAUGGGCAGAUGGCUGGAGAUAAAAUUAAGACAGGACAUUCCGCAACUGGUGUAAGACCUUAUUGGUGUCACUUCUCGUGUCCAAGUUUGCGUGUUUGAUAUCAGCUAAGCGGUCCAAAAUGACGACAUGGAUUCGAUUGCCUUGUUGCUAUCAAGUUUGAUUUUUCUUCCGUGCAAUUCUUAGCAAAAGAAAGAGAACUCUUUCGGUAAGAGCUAUCGAUCUUGGUUUUUGAUACGUUCAUUGUCAAGCACGCGUGAAGGAAUCUAAUUCCACUGUGUCCAGUCCAAGUUCCUUUCGACAGGUUUUGAAGUGACUGAAAUAAACCAAGUUCGACGUUAACUUGACUUUCGAGUUUCCGUUUCAUUUCCAACCUCUUACGGUGUUUUAUUGAAAAGUUAAACCAAAUCACACGUUUCUAUUUACUUGUUUGUUGAGACUAAAAUGUGGGUUUAAGAAGGUCAAAUUAAACAACUUAGCAUUUAAACAAGUACCUGAUAGUAUGUCCCUUGAUGUCGAAGCCCAGUCCAUGAGGUUGCACGAUGGCCGCGCCCCUCAGAUGUGGUCCGAAGGGAGGGUUUUGCUUCUCCAGACGGUACUCGGUGUCCUCAGCUGUCGGCACAGUUGUCGCGAACCGGUCGUGAUACUUCACUAUCUUCAUCAGAUCCAAGUCGACCACCACGACUAUGCCUUCGAUGGGUCUCAUGUAGAAGUUGACCGUGCCGUUUGUGUAGAAAGCAAGGACCUUCACGACCCUCCUGCUUCUCAGCUCUCCGUACCACCCGACCGCGAAAGUUGAGCACACAACGCUUGACAUGUCGAGGCCUCUGUUUUUGAUGGACUGUAUGAAUUCAUCAUGUGUACGAGGUAGCUCGAUCGCAUCUGUUUGCUCCUCUAUUGUGAGCAUAGGGAAGCCAUGUCCAUGGUACACCUGUUCGAAAUUAUAUCAUGUAUGUCAUGACUCGGAAAAAGAAGGAAAAGCAAAAUUGAUGGAUCCAUCUAAACUCAUGCAUAAAGACACUAAGUGAUUGGUUUUAUCAAGUAGAAUGAGUCUAGAGAACUGAUUUGGAGCAAGGGAAAUUAAGGAAGAAUAAGUAGUAAGAAGAUGAAAAAGAUUGCAGGUAGCAAUGUGCAUGCAUGCGUCGAUAAUGAAGAAAGACUUGGAAAGAAAAUAAGCCACGAUUAUUAUUUAGCCUUAUGUUUCAAGACCGUUGAUUGUUCCGCUUAUCACGCGUCAAGGUCAAGGGUCCUAUGAAUGCAGUCGUCUCGCCAAAGUAAAACGGUAGGUGGCUGAUGAAUCUCAAUCAUGAAAGUUGAUAAAUGAAUUGAACAUGAGCGAGGCCAACACUAGUUGUUAUAGCUUGAAAUAAAUUGAUUUGCUAACAAAACCUCCUUGGAGACGAUUGAUGGUUGAUGGCUCGAUAAGUCCACGACCAGCUCAUGAGUUUGCCCGUGGAGCCGCACGACCACGGAGGCUCGACGAGGAGGAGGUUUUUUGCUAGCUUGGCUCGACAUCCACGAGUGAACAAGAGAUUUAUCUGGCUCGUCCAGACCCACAUAUUGGAAUGUCACGUUUUCACCCGAUGCCCCAUACGAUCUCUUCACCGCAUCUCGAAUCAGAGAGAAUUCCACUGGCGAUAAGGGAUCAAGCGGGUGUUCAUGCUGAGAUGAGACUGGUGAAACGGAGAAGGAGAAGAGUGUGAUGGAAAGGAGAGAGAGCAAGACUUUGUGAGGGGAAGCCAUUAGUGUAUGUGAAGACUUUGCGAUGCAUCGGCAUCCUUAAAUAAGCACACCUUUUUUUCGAAGAAAUUUCAAAACUAUGAAAUCAGGGAUACCAUUUGUUGAAAAAUUAAUACGGAAACUAAUUGGAUUUUACAAUUUAAAUUAACAAAGAAAUUAUAAAAAAAAAUAAAAAUAAACGAUGAACAAUAAAUGAUGCCAAAUAUUUAUGUGAUUUGAUCAAAAUAUCGGUAUUUAUUUCACUCGGCGAGUUAAUAACAAAUAAUCCAUUAUAAUCAGAUAAUCAAAUAUAUAAUCUUUUACACGCUCUAAUAUUUUUUAAAUUUAAAUUAUUUAUAAAUUUAAACUGUUUAUAGAUAAAUAAAUAACUCAAAUUGAAUAUAACAAUCGCAGCAUUAAAUUCGUUGGGUGUCCGAUGUUCCUCGUUCGGAGCGUUCUCUCGUGCGGCUCAAAGUGUGCGUUCUAUUGGAGAACCGACUGUUUUCAAAAGAAACAGACGACAGAGACAAAAGUAAAAAAACCUCGUAUUUUACUUUGUUUUCUUGACGAAGACCUCUUCACCCCACAAUAAAUAUAUAAUUAUAGAAUUGACCUAUCUAUUUAUAUGUAUACACACAUACAUCUCCUUUAACCAAAACCAAAUAGGCCAAUGAGUCAAUGACCUUGGCCCCUUCGUUGGAAACCAGUCGAGGAAACUUCGUCGUCUGAUGAAUCCUAAUCCGAAUAAGAAAAUGGAUUCCUUUAGAUUUUUCACACGGCUGCAAAGUUGAGACGUAGUUUAACAUUUGUUUUAUGUGUUGAAAAUGUAUGCCGGGCUCUUUAUGGUCCUAGCUUGAUAAAAACAUAUGAGUUGUCUUUAGUGGUCCUGAUUUGAUACGAACGUAUGAAUUUUCUUGAGACAUAGUUUAACAUUUGUUUUAUGUGUGGAAAAUGCAUGCCAGGCUCAGUUUAACAUUUGUUUUAUGUGUGGAAAAUGCAUGCCGGGCUCAGUUUAACAUUUGUUUUAUGUGUGGAAAAUGCAUGCCGGGCUCAGUUUAACAUUUGUUUUAUGUGUGGAAUAUGCAUACCGGGCUCUUUGUGGUCCUAGUUUAAUAAAUACAUGAGUUGUCUUUAGUGGUCUUGAUUUGAUAUGAACAUAUGAAUUUUCUUGAAGAAAAUUUCAAAUAAAAAUUUGAAAUUAUGUCGUUUUAUUAAAAGAUGUCUCGUUAGAGUAUAGUGCGCUGAAAACCUACAAGGAAGCUACUUUUUAAAAGAUUGAGUAAAAUGGUUAGUUGUUAUGAAUGAAAAGAUAGAAUCUUUUGAAAAAAAUUAAAUUUGGGAGCUUUUCAAGCCACCAAAAGAAAAGCAAAUUGUGAGCUGCAAAUGGAUUUUCAAAAGAAAUGAAGGUAUUCUUGGAGCUGAAAACAUCAUGUUCAAAGCUCGUUUAGUUGCUAAGGGUUAUAGUCAGAUUAAGAGAGUUGAUUUUAAUGAAGUGUUUUCACCUGUCAUCAAAAACAAUUCCAUUUAGGUUUUUCUUGUGAUAGUUGUUAUGCAAAAUACAGAGUUGGAACAACUCACCAUGAAAACAACUUUCUUGCAUGGUGAACUUGAAGAGAAAGUUCAUACAAGUCAAUCAAAAGGUUUUUAGUUUGAAGGUAAGGAAAAUCAUGUUUAUCUAUGGAAAAAAAUCUAUAUAUGGCUUGAAACAAUUAUUGAGCCAUUGGUAUAAAAAGUAUGGUUCAUUUAUGGUGCAAUGUAGCUAUUGUAAGAGUAAAUAUGGUAGUUGCGUAUAUUUGUGCAAACUUUCAAAUGACAUUUUCAUUUAUCUAUUAUUACAUGUUGAUGGCAUGUUGAUUAUAGUAAAAAAUAAAUAUCAUAUACAAAAUUUGAAGGCCAGUUAAGUGCUGAAUUCGAAAUGAAUGAUUUAGAUGCAAUAAAGAGAACCUUUGCAUGGAAAUUUAGGGAGAUCAAAAAUGGAAAAAAUUGUAUCUCUCCCAAAAAGCUACAUUAAGAAGGUGUUAUAUCAUUUUAGUAUGAAAGAUGCCAAACUAGUAAUUACUCAUCUUACUGUUCAUUUUAGAUUAUCAACUAAUUUAUGUCUACAUGUAGAUGAUGAGAUAAAAUAUAUGUCACAUGUUCCAUACUCUAGUGCAAUUAAUAGUCUUAUGUAUGACAUGGUCUGUACUUGACCUGACAUUUCACAUGUUGUUAGUAUGGUAAGUAUAUAUUUAUUAUGCUUAUGCAAAAUCCAUUGUAAAGUUGUGCAGCGGAUUUUGAAAUAAUUGAAGGGUACUUCUGGUUAUUGUUUAAAGUUUAGGAAAACUAGUAAUGUUCUCGUAGGAUAUGUCAAUUUUGAUUAUGCGAGAGCUUUUGGACUAGGUACAUUUUUACCAUUGGAGGUUGUGCACUUAGUUGGAAAGUUAUCUACUAUGGAGGCAGAGUAUAUGAUUGUUACAAAGGCAGUUAAAUAGAUCAUAUGGUUAAAAGGCUUAUUUGGAAGCUCAAUGUGGAUCCCGGUGUAACCGUUGUCUAUUGUUAUAGUCAGAAUGAUAUUAAAGAUUAGAUAAAUCAUGAGAAGACAAAGCACAUUAAUGUGCAAUAUCAUUUUAUUUGAAAGAUUCUUACUAAUGGCUAUAUGAAGGUCUUGAAGAUUAGUACCAAAAAAAUCUAGUUGAUAUGUUAACAAAGCCCUUGCCUAUUGCCAAAUUCAAGCAUACCUGGAUUUAGUUAAUGUUUGUUGCAAUUGAGAUUUAUUCUAGUGGAAGGAGAAGAUUGUUUGUUGCUUAUGUCUAGUUUGAGUCAAGAUCAAGAUUUUUUUAGUAUGUCUUAAAUUCUUUAUGAGCUUGGGCCAACAUUAGGGCUUGGGAGUAGUAUAAAAAUUAUUUUUCUUAAGUUAUUAGGUUGAGAAAUUGAGACCAAAAAAGUCUGAGUUUUUUUUUUUUUUUGCCGCUUUUUACAUUCCUUAAAUUUCCAUAGAGGAUUUUCCUUCUUUGCUACCCGUGAUUUUUCCCGAAAGGGUUUUCUACAGAAUUCUAUGUAUUCUUUUAUUCUUCUUAGUUUUAAUUUUGUUGUAGUUUUCUCAAUAUGAAUCACUUGUCCCAUGGAGGCAUCAAACUGGCAUUAGAGCUCAAGGUUGAACUUGUUUAGAGUGAUACCUUUUGUACCUUCUGUUACUUAUCUUCCAUUAUAUUUUAUACUUUUGUUCAAAUAAAAAGAAAAUGGAAAUGUCAAAUCAAGUUCCAAGAGGCUUGACAUUGGAGCAAGCGUAUAAUGAGAGGUAUAACUAUGCUAUAUAAAAUCUCCAAAGACAAAUGGAGAAAGUCCUCACUCUCCUAGAAAAUCGACUGAAGGGUGGCAAAAGAUACUUGGCUAAGCCUUCAACUAAAGUUACGUCCUUCUUUGAUGAUACUUACUCUAACCAAGUUGAGGAUACUUCCAAAUAGAAAAACGAAAUGGUCAAGCCGCUUGAAUUCAUUGAAAAGCUCCAAUAGGAAUCAGAUGGUAAAAAUAGCAAGCGCUUCAAGUGCUUGGCAAGGAUUGUCCUUACCAACAGGAUAUCACCAUUUAAUUGAGAAAUUGAUUUUGAACUUCAAGAGGCUUAGCAAGAUCCAUAUCAUAUGGAUUUUGAAUCCAAGGAGCAAGACCAGAUCAUAGAACAAAUUAAAGAAGGAGAAAUGCUAGCCAUCCAAAUGCCAUCAAGCAACUAUGAUAUUAGCGAUGAUGAAUCUCUAAAUAAAUUUAUUGAGGCAAAUGGUGAGGUCAAAUAUGGAGAGAAUGUGAUUAUAAUGGCCGGAAAUAUUACUUGUCACUUUUAUUUCAUACGCCCUAAAGCAUUCUCUCCCAGUGCUAAUCAAUUGUCAAAAUGUAUUUGACAUAUUUUUAGCUAUUCAAUAAGCCUUGAAAAUAUUUAUUUCUAUGAAGCUGAUGUAUUAUCUAGUUUUUUGAAGACAUUGCCCGGAUAAUUUUUCAAAAUAAAGAUUCUUCGGUAUAGAUCGUUAUGGCAACUUGGCACUUUCAAUCUAGAAGAGGAAGCCAAGCUGGAUUUGAGGACAAAUCUUCAAGAAACUGGGGAGUUUGAUGAGGGAGCAUUGGGAUCUAUUGAUGAACUCGUAAGCUCAACUCAUAUUUCAUUGAUCAAUCCAACUCAAUUCUUGUCACGCCCCGAUCCUCGGACACGUGCACAUCCUUCUACUUGGUUGAUUUUAGAAUGCGAUAUCCCAGGACUAUGUAUCGCCGACCCAUUUCUUUUAUUAAGCACAUGCGGAAGCAGUUAUAAAUCCCCAGACAAUAAAACAAUGGGAUAGAAAAGCAGGGCUACAUUUUCCAUAUUGAAAACUCAUAACCACACUUUUAUACAUAGCAUAACAAGCUUUCAUUAUACUUCACAGUACUAUUCACCAAGGUCUGAUUUAACAAAUCUACAAAUAUUCACAAGGUUUUCAAAAUGAGGGAGGUCUCAAUCCUUCUGCAAGUCGUACUCAAAAUCAUCCUCUUCACCCUCCUCUGAUUCCUCGCUAGGCUUUUCCUGGAAUCCUCCUUUUAAAGAUCUUCCACCUAAGGGCCUGAAAUUGGUUUUUACAACAACCAAUGAGACGAUGUCUCAGCGAGUCCUACCCCCUAAGACUUGAUUAGGAAACCAAUACACCACCAGGUUACCUAGCACAACACGAGUCAAACGACUUACCUUGGCAUCAGUUUCCAACCUGCAAUUUAAGGUUAUGCACAUAUGCCUUAUAUAUUGCAUUAAAACAUUCAAUCAAUUCACUGGAUCAACUCGUUGAUCAAUCGACCUAGUCGAUUCACAUGUCAGCCAGACCACAUUGGGUCACUUCACUUCCCAUCAUCACACCCCCAGCAGUACACUUAGUCACAGAGCUUCAUCAGUGCUCUCGGGCAUUACUUCUGCCAAGAUGACGUGUAUAAUGGACAGCACUCGUGCGUUCUUUAAGGCGCCGUUUUCACCAGUGAUACUCUCUAUCACCGAACCACGUAUGUCCAUACUGCUGCAUGUAAUAGACAGCACUCGUGCGUUCUUUAAGGCGCCGUUUUCACCAGUGAUAUCCUUUAAUCACCGAACCACGUAUGUCUCAUUACAUCGGUCCUGAUUGGUUUCAGCUGAGAAUUUCCCCAAUUCCCUUUCGUAGUUCCCUCUGCUUUACAACUCAUCAAUGUCAAAUAGACAUACUCGGCCAUCAACCAAUCAAUCACUCAAUUUAAUUCAAUUUGGGAUAAAUCCCUAAUUUGCACAAUCAAUUCAAAUCCGCGCAAUGUAAAGCUCAAAUAAAUAAAUGGAUUGCACCACGACAAUCAGCACGAAAUUCUGGUCACCGGCCAUCCCGGUUGAAUUUCCGGAAAAUAAUUAAAUAAUUAAUUAAUUUCGAAAAUUAAAUAAAUAAAUACGAUAAAUUCAAUUUAGCACAAUAUAAAGCUCAAUUAAAUAAAUAGACUGCACCAUGAUCAUCAGCAUAAAAUCCCGAUCACUAGCCAUCCCAGUUGAAUUUUCGGGAAAUAAAUAAUUAAAUAAAUAAAUUUCGAAAAUUAAUAUUAAAUUCCUAAAAAUUCCUUCUAGGCCCGAAUUGCUUAAAUAAUACCCGAUAAGGGACGGGAAAAAUCCCAAGAUGCCUUCAAUAAUUAAUCGGACAUGUCUACCUACUAAUUACACCAUCAAUUUAACUAACACGCAUUAACAAGUCUCUAAUUUAAUUAUUUUAAUCUAAUCUAUCCACCUAAUUGCAAUUAAUUAAAUCUAAUUAAACCUUAGGCAUAUUAGUCUACUAAUAAAGCAUUAGUGAGUAAAACUCACUUGAUUAAAAACGGGGACCGGGACACCGCGACGGCGACGCGACGGCAGCCGAAUUCCAAACUUUCGGCGGCGUCGGCGGACACUCGGGCCGGGCUCAAAAGCCUCACAAGCCUGCAGAAAUUUCUGGGCUUAGGCCUGCUGGAAUCCUUGGGCUGAGCCUGAACUUGGGCUUGAAUCAAAGCUGAAUUGGGCCUGCCUUUC